AAAAAGGCUCCCGGAAAAAGAAAAAAAAAAAAGAGAGAUAGAGAGAGAGAGAUUGAUGAAAGACUACUACAUCUUAUGCUGCUUUGACAAACAUCAAUGUGUUUCUGAGUGAGAAUUACUUGUGUGGAGCGAAUUAGCAGGCCAUGGGACCCACAUACAUAUAAUUUAGUUUUUGGGUCCCGCCUGAUCAGUCGCACCACCUUAGCAGCCUAACCCACAUAAGUUCUCAGACGCAUCACCUUGGCAGCCUAACCCACACAAGUUCUCAGUCAGAGUAAGUAUCCACAGCAAAGAACCACACAUCAAAGUGUAUGAAUUUUGCUAAUUGUUUAUCAAUAGGACAAUCCAAUAAAAUAAUGCCAUGAAUGUAUUUUGUCACUCACUUCUGUAACUACUAUCAUAAUCGGUCAAUUUCAAAAUAAAUGCAGUAACAUUCUACUAAAUAACCAUUUAAAAAUAAAUAGUAUGUCUACCCCAGCCAAGUCUUUUUUCCUAAAGAAUAAAAGAAAUAUUUCAUUACAAAUAAAUUGGGAAUCCUAAAUUAUCCAGGAUUAAAUGUAUCCAUUUGCAGUUUUACUUCUUUAGUCCAAUCUUCAAGAAGGCUAAAAAUCUUACAGAUCUGAGGCUGUACGAAGAAGCCAAAGGUUGUGAUCCAGCAGCCCCCUAAGGGUUUAUGUUAAUCCAACUAAUCCUCCAUCAAAAAAGCCAAGAUCAUGAAACUACUGCCAACAUAACAGAUGACAGGAAAGUAUAUCAGCUGUCCGCGUCAAAACAUUUCCCAUGAUUCAUAAAUGAUAAAGAUGAAAGGUACAAGUUCUGUUUGAGUUGGGGCAAAGAGCAACAUCAUAUAACAAAAUUCAGGCAUAGAUAAACAGGGUUGUAGAAGCUUAUUCUCUCCUCAUAAAAGAAGAAAUCUAGAUCAAGUUAAGCAAAUAGCAGGCUAGAAAAGACUAUUGAAACAAACCAUUUUAAGUCCACCAAGAGCAGUGAGGCAAAAUGGAUGACUGUCAUUUCUCCGAUAAAAGAAGCAUGAAGCACAAAAAGAUACCCAAAAAAGCAUAAGUGAUGAAUCUACUAUGCUAAAACUACAACCAAGAAGAACUCGGGCACAGUGUAAAAAGAAUUCAUCGUAUUGACAUUUAUGCGCUACAAUUCUUCAUGACAGACUGUGGCUCAAAUUCUAAGCCUAGUUCUCCAAUAGUCAUUUUCCCAUGAAAGAUAUUCAACAAUUGAGGCACAUGAUCCUGAUAUUUGGUCACGAAUGUAUCCAAGAAGUGCUUGUUAGAGUUUAUCACCAGAGAAGAUAAACAUAUUUUAUUUUCUUCAUUGAUCAAGCCCUUUGAAAGCAAAACUCUUAUAACUGAACAACGGGGGAUGAUCCUCCUCUCCAAACUAUACAUAAAAGCACUUGGAACAUGGGCAAUAGCUGAAGGCUGCCAACCCAUCUUGUUUACCAAAAAAUUGAAUACGCUGACUAAUUUGGUCUUAGAUGCAGUCAUAUAAAUGGGACACUUUCUAAAUGCCAACCUAAUGUCCUCAUCAGACCAACCCCACCUCCUCAAGACAUCCAAUUUGCACUCCAGAGUUGAUUGACCAAUUGAAGAAAAUACUUGCAUUGCAUGGACAAAUUCACAUUUUUGAGGAUUAAAACCCAUUUUGAUGACCUUCUUAACAUUUCCAUCAAACUUAUCCUGUCUUUGGAGGACAAUAGGGGGAUAACAUGAUAAAAUCAGUGCAAAAUUGGCCUCGGGCAUUCCGAGGUCUUUCAAGAAUGCAAGUUUCGGAGACACAGUCUUCUGCAAAUCAAAACAAAAUAACCGCGUUCUUUUUUUCCUCAAAACUUUAAUAACAUUUUCAUCAGAGAAAAACACACUUUUGAGGAAUUUAUAAUUGGGAAUGAGUACAUUCUCCAAGCUUUGACCCAAAAUGGCUGGGAUUGACGAGCAAACAUCAGCAAGUUCAGCGUCUGUGGCCCCAAUGGAAUUCAAGAACUCAAUUUUGGGUAAGAGAGACCUCUCGGGAUGGGCAAAAAGUAACUGUGGGCGCACCCUAACAAGUUUAGCAAUUUGGGAACCAUUGAAUCCACGAUUUUUCAAAAAUUGAAGGACUGAAUCUGGUUGUUUCGAAGAUUGAAGCUUUACUCUUUCGGCAACAGAUUUUGCAAUUUUUGGGGACAACCCACAUGAGUUUAUGAGGUAUGACACCGUAAAUGAGCAUUCUUUUGGCACUUUCCUUUUAAUUUGUUCGUCUUCAGUUGAGAAUAACUUAACGCCAAAAGGAUUAAACAACCUUGCGUUCUGAACAUUCAAACCCAAACCAGAAAACAAAUCCAAAUAAGAGGUGGCUAAAUCUUGCGCAAUAGACCUAUUAGUAUUUGAGAACACUUGUGCUAGUGAUAGCCUUCCAUUACUUCUAUAGAAUAAUCCAUACAUCUUCGAAAACGAAAACUUACAGAUAAUACUAAUGUAAUUGAAUUUCGUUCAGUUGAAAGAAUUCACUCACCAGCUCGUGCUCCUUACUGAAAAGGGGAAGAACAAGAACGCCUCAGCUGAUUCGUUUUAUGGUGCAUCGGGGAUUCACGAAAAAGGUCGUCGUGUUUAUCUUCACACUUCAGACCACCAAAACGACGGCAGUUCUGGGACCGCGCCGUGUUCCAAAGUAAGCGGUCCUUGGCGACAAAAUUUUAGGAUUUUAAACAAGGUGGGUUUGGUACUGGUUUUGUUUUGGCGUUUUCCGUUUUCCAAAAACAAAAUCGUGUAAAAUACGUUUGCUCACUGUUUUUUGUAUUUCGCGAGAAUGAAUCAUUCUCAUUUUUCAGCAUUUCGUAUUGCAUUUUUGAAUGGCGUUCUUAUAACUCAGAGAAAAGAAAUGGCUAGUUUUCUUAAAAUUACAAACAUAUUGUAUUAGAAAAGCUUUUACCCAGCAAUAGAAAAAUAAAGAAGUAAUAUAAGAUAAAGAAUAAAAUAAAAGAGUAAUAUAUUAUAAAGUGAUUUUAUUUAUUUUAAGUGUGUACAAAAUAAAGAGAUGAGAGAAACACUAUGGAUUACAAUUCUUUUUAAGAUGUAGAAUUUAUAAAUAAGUUAAGGGUUGCUAGUGGAAGAUAGUGGAGAGAUUGAGAGAUGUAUGUUAUGAAAAUCUACAUUUAUUUUAAUAAAUUCAUAACUGUUUAAUUUGAAAGAUUUUUGUAUUUCUUAAAAUUCCCAUAUUGUUCAGACAUAAAUGAUUAACAUAAGUGAUUAACUUUAGACAUAAACUAAAAGAAAAGUAAAUUUGGUCCUUACAUUAGUCACUUGUCGAAUAAAAAAAAUAAAGAUAGGUUGUGGUCCUAUAUGCAUGACUUUAGCGACAAAAAAACAUAGAGAACACUAACUUAAUGUUUUUCAACGUCUUUUAUAAAAAAUAACACUUAAAUAAUUUAUUCCUCACAUUUUCUUAGAAAAUGGUGAACCAAAUAAAUUUAAUUAAUUUUUGUACUCGUAUAGUGAAAAUGCUUAAGAGAAAAUGAUAGCAAAUACACCCUCUUAAGUUUUCUAGUUUCCAAUUGAAAAAUUUUCAUCCAAUACAUUCGCAUUGAUAAAUUGCAACAUAUUAAUUUUAUUUUUAAUAUUUUAAUAAACUCCCUUAAAUUCUCACAUUAUAACACAAUUUUUUUAAGCUCUAUUAUCUUCAUAUUUUCAGACAAACAACUAAAAAUGGUUUUAAGUUUUCGUUUUCAAAUACUAUUUUAGAGACAAGCUAUGAAAUGCAUUUUUAAAUUCGCAAAAAUAAUUAUCUUUACAUUAUAAAACAAAUACAAAAUUAUGAUUUGAAAAACAAUAUCAAACACAAACCCCAUUUAUUUCAAAAAAAAUAAUUGUUUCCUUAUCCUUUUUUAAAAUUUACUAGAACACCCUAAAUGUUAACAAUAUUUUGUGACUUGUCAAUAAUUUUUUACUUCAAAAGUAGUAUUGAAAUCAUUCAUUUUUUUAACUAUCAUAUUUAACUAUUAAAUAGAGAGCAAGUUGCUCUCUAUAGAGCUUAUUAGGUUGUUUAUAAUUAUAACAUGAGAAGAAAUUUGGUGGUUUUAAAACAUAAAAGAAUGAAAUAAAAAAAUUAUAAGAAUAAUAUUAUACAUAGUAACUAUUGGUUCAUAAAAUCAUAAAUUGAAGAACAUGCUAGGCUCUGGUUUGGGCUUUGUUAAGCCCGAAGUUUAAAUUUUAGGGAAAUUUAUCAAAAUAGAUACAAAAUUUUGGAAUUUUUUAAAUUUAACCCCUCAAGCUUUUUCCUAUUAUAACUAGCCAAAUACUAGUUUUUUUUUUAACCAAAUAGUCCUCAUCACUUUCAAAAAAUUUAUAAACAAAUGGCACUCCUACAAAAAAAUUCAGAAAAAAUCAGCACCUCAACACUCUCAACACUUUUACCAAAUUAUCAAACUUCAUCUCUCUCAAAAAAUCAUCAAAUCACAUCAAAUAAAUAUUCCAUAACUGAAGAUAUAAUCAUCAGUUGGAGAGUUUUUUAAGGUUAAUGAAUGUUCUUAAUGUAUGUUCUUACACAAUAUAAACUUUUAAUGUAUUAGGUUUAAGAUUUAGGUUCAAAAUUGAUGUGAGUUUUAUUGUAAAUGUUAUUAUUUUACAUCAUAAAAUAAAGUGAUUUCUUAAGGUACUUUAGUUUGAGUUGAGGAAAAAAAAUCAUUGAAAACAAGAAAAAUUUGAGGUAAAACAAGCCUAGAUUAUGUGGGCUAGGAAAGUUCAUGUGCAACAGGCAGUGAGACAGGUGGCUAACAUAUAUAAUCACAGUAUGUGCAAUAGCCAUGUAAAAUGUGUUUGAUAUCUUUCGGAGGCUAUAACUUAAACUAUAUGUGUCCAUUUUGAAUAUAUAAUAUAUUAUUUCGAAACUGGUGAUGAGACAAAUCAAAGCAUAUUAGAGCAACAAGCACCUGUAGCACCAAAAGACAAUCACAUUGAAACUAUCUUUUGGUCCGAUAGGUGCCUGUCGCACCAAUGUUUGCUUAUCGCACUAAAAUACAGUGACUUAGAAACUUUAUUUUAGUAUGACAUGUGUAUAUCACACUAAUAUACCUUGGUCCUUCUUAUCACAAGGUUCGAAACAAUAUAUUAUAUGCUCAAAACAAACACACAUAGCCUAAGUUAUGACUUUUGGAGAGACCCAAUAUAUUUUACAUGGUUGUCGCACAUAUUAUGAUUAUGUGCAACAGGUAGUUGUGUUUAUGUACAAUAGAAACUUGUCUCACUGCUUCUCGCACGUGAACUUUCAUGUUGCACUUAAUUUAGGCUUGUUUUACCUCAAAUUUUUAUUGUUUUCAAUGAUUUUUUUUUUUAAUUUCUCAACUCAAACUAAGUACAUCAAGAAAUCACAUUGUUUUAUGAUAAAAGAUAACAAUAUUUACAACAAAAUGCACAUCAAUUUCGAACUAAAUCCUAAACUUAAUACAUUAAAAGUUUCUUUUGAGUAAGAACAUACAUUAAUCCUAAGAAGCUAUGCAAUUGAUGAUUAUAUCUUCAAUUACAUAACACUUGUUUGAUGUGGUUUGGUUAUUUGUUGAGAGUAAUGGGAUUUAAUGAUUUGUUGGGAGAAUUGAGAGUGUUGAGGUUCCGAUUUUUCUGGAUUUUUCAUAGGGGCACCAUUUGUUGGUAAAGUUAUUGAAAGUAAUGAGGACUAUUUGGUUAAAAAAAAAACUAGCAUUUGGCUAGUUAUGAUAAAAAAAAUUUUGAGGGGUCAAAUUUAAAAAAUCCUAAACUUUUUAUAGCUAUUUUCAUUGAUUUCUCAAAUUUACAUCCUUCGGGUGCUUUCAUUAGAAUGCACAGUUACUUAGUUGUUACUAAAUGGAAAAUAUAAGAAAAAGAAAAAAAGAAAAAUAGUUGCAACAUUCUUGUGGUUUGGCAAAAUAGUUAUGAAGGGAUUGGAAUCCACUACUCAGCUAAAUUGUAUUCAAUUCUUCAUAAUCUUUUGUCAAAUGUGCAUGUAUAUAUAAUUAUAUAUGGUUAAGAUUUAAUUAGUUUUAUAUUAUUAUGCAAUAACUAUCAAUUGUUUUUUUCUAGAAGGUUAGCAACAUUGAAUCAAAUAUGUUAUAAAGAUCUUCUUGUUUUCAAAAAUAGUUAUAUAGAUUUUGUUUUUAUUAAGUCAGGAUAAAAUACAAUUAGAUCAUGAAAGUUAAAGAAUAUAAUUAUCCUACAAAAAAGAUUAUGUGACCAUCUUUUAAAUAAAAAUAUUUCCUUAUAUUUUUUCCAGAUCAAAUGAAGAUUUUGAUACCUAUUUAUGAAUAAAAAUGAAAGAAAAAUAUAUCUAAAAAGCAGACAAGGGACCUAUCAUCAUUUGUGAAUAAACCAUUGUAUUAUUCAUGUGAGACCAUUGUGUUAUGCGUGCGAGAAUCUGAAUAUGCAUAAAAAUGAUUCAUUGCCUUGCUACUUGCUGGAUGCAUAGAAUAAAAUACACCAUUCAUUUUUCAUUUAUAGGAACUACUUGCUAUUAAGAUCGUUUAUAAGAUCUACUUGCUGUUAAGAUAAUAUUGUCAUAAAUUUGAGAUGGUAUCAUCUAAUUGAAAUAGUAAAACCUCUUGAAUUGAAAAUAAGAGUUUUAAUGUUUGAUGUCUGUUCACAUGAAUGGAGAAGAGGCUGAGUUAUCAUUAGACUAAGGACUAGUUUGGUAUUGUGGUCGUUGAUUAAAUAAGAUACUCUUACUGUCUGGAUAUAAUAAGUUGUUGAUUAAAAAAGUAGUAUAGUAUUUGAUAAACUUUAUUGUUGUAGUUUUUGUGAGUUUGAGUUUAAAAAGCAAUGUACAUGCGUUCAGUAAAUUUGAUUACAAACGUAUUGUUUUAUUAUAUAAUGACCAAAAUAGAUAUAAGUUUAAAUUACCUUUUAUUUUUCUGGAGUAUAUUUGAUAAUGUUUAGACAUAUCUUUUUCUUUUAAAACACAUAAAUUACAUAAAGAAAAAAAUCUCAAUUAAAUAAAAUCCAAUGAACUUGUUGGAUCAAAAUUUUGAUACUAAAGAGAAUGCACAAUAGUUUUAUAAUUUGUUGUGGUGAUAAUAUGAUAUUAUGCCUUAUAUAUCAGAGUGUAUGAAAAAAUAAGAUAUAGUUAUUCUUUUAAAUUUUAAGGUUAUAAUAGGAAAUUUAAAAAAGUGUGGUAGCUUAUAUAAUAAAGUGAUUAUGAAAGACAACCCGUACCUGCUUUUAAAAGCCACUUUCAAGAUGGAGAAAUUGUGAAAUAAGUAGUUUUUACAAAAUUUAUCAAAUAAUAUUUUUUGCCACCAUUAUGAAAUAAGCAAGUACUGAAUUUCAACCUCAAUCUCAAACGAGACCUAAAAAUAAUAUAUAUCACAUAUUUAAAUUAUUUUUAAAAAAUUAAAUUAUGAUUUCACCUGAGAAAUAUCUUCACAGGCAAUAUGUCAAACAAGUAAUAUAUUAAAAUAAAAAAGAUAAGAGAACAAAACUCAAUGACAUGACACAAGUACUACAUGAUGGAUGCAAUUUUCGGAUUUUCAACAUGCUGAAAUAGCUCCAUUAAUUUUAACAUUAUGAACAUCAACAUGAUUGCAAUGAAAAACUCCAUAAAUUGUGAAGUCACACUUAUUCUUUUACUAAUUAUAAAUGUUCAAUCCAUUGCGUUUCUAGUAAAAAAAAGAACAAAAAUGCCAAAUUUUUUAUUUUUUAUUAUCAUGAAAAAAAUGCAAUGAGCUCUUUCGUGCUAUCAUAUAUAUAAAUGUACGCAACAAGAGAAGGGAAUAUGAAAGAUUAAUCGAAGUAAAAGGAAGAAAUGGAAGGUGAGAACGCAAAAGCUUUGGGGGUACCGGAUACUUCGGCAAAUAUAUGGUGAAAGCAAGUGUAUUUUCUGGUCACAAAGCUUAUGCUUAUGCUCGAUCGGUUAAAAAAAAAAUUUCAAGUCCCUCCAAGCUUGAAAUCUAUAAGGAAUUUCAGGAUAUUGGUGUCGCAAUUGUUGAGGUAACUUCAUCACUCAAUCAUCUCGAUCUCCUUUUGUUUUCUUGAUCUUUUUUUUUUCUUUUUUAAGUGCGCGUGGAAUGAUCUCUUAUACUUCUUUUUAUGAGAUUAAUUUUGUGCUGAUCUAAUUAGAAUCUUCAAUAUUAUUUGUAAGUUUAAGUAUUAACAAUAAUACUGUUGAAAUUAAAACAGGGGGAGCUAGACGAGCACGAGAAAAAAAUUGUAUCUAUAUUUAAGGAAGUAGAUGUGGUGAUAUCUACUGUAGCUUAUCCUCAGUUUCGUGAUCAACUGAAAAUUGAUGAUGCCAUCAAAGUUGCUGGCAACAUCAGGUACUUGAUUGAGCUCUUUCUUUCUAAAAAAUAAAAUAGAUCGCUUGUUUUUUUUUUUUUUUCAGAAAUUUAAAUAUAGUUUGUCUAGUAAAUGGAAAAUAUUAUGAACUUUUAAAUGUGAAUGUCCACACUUUCUAAAUGUAGAUUUAAGCUAAGUAAUUGUAGUUAUCUAAAAAAGACGUUAAAAUAUAUACAAGGGCUAGUAAAUUAGCAAAAUACCUUAAAUCACAAACCCUAAUUUAGUAUUUGCGUCUUUGUAACAUUUUAGUGUCUUUUUACAAUUCAGUGCUGAAUUACUUCAAAUUUGUUUAUAUAGAAAAGAUCUUAAACAUACUAUGUUUUGGCUGCUGGAGGUUUCUUCCAUCUGAGUUUGGAUGUGAAGAGACAGGGUAAGGCCUCUGCCUCCUUUUGAAGCUUACGUGGAGGAAAAAACGAAUGGUAAGAAGGGCAGUAGAACUGUAGAAGCAGCUAAAAUUCCCUAUAACCUUUGUCUUAGCACAUCUCUAUGGUGCUUACUUUGUGAAUGUCUUGCUUCGUCAAUCCGAAUCACAAGAUGAAGUAGUUGUUUAUGGAAGUGGUGCAACAAAAGGUAUUUUAUUCUCCAAGAUUGAAUUCCACAUAUUAUAAAAUGCAAUUUAGACCAAAACUGAUAGCCUUUAAUAAUAAAUUUUCAUUGUCUAGGGUUUUGGCUAAAGAAUAAUCAAAGGAAAUUAUAGACCAAUCAUGUCCAAGAGGGGUAAUAUUCCUUAAUUCUGACCAUCUAAGUACAAAUUAGAUUAAGAAAUUUAACUGACUAUAAAAUAAUUGGUUGGCUAAAAAAACAAAGUCUUGGUAUAGAUUUUCUACUAUUUUUUUUUCUUUUACAAUGUUUAUGCUGCCACCAAGGAAGGAAGAAAUAUGGUGGAUUUUUAUUGAUUAUCCUGGUAGGAUAUGAUUAAAUAAUUGUUUCAGUAGUUGUUUUUGUUUUUGGGUUUUUUGGUGAUCCAAUAGUAGAAUAUGAUAUUUAUUUGGUAAUUUAAUAUUCUGUCCAAUUAACUCUUUAUCUUCACUUUCUAAUGUAAUCAUUUUUUGUUUACAUUUUUCAUUUACACUGCCUAGAUGAUGUCUAGUAUCAUUAAGUUUUCUAACUGUGUGUGUCAUAAUUUCACAAUGGAUGCAAAACUGUAUAGAUCAUGAUGAUAAUGAUGAUGCACUGUCUAAAGAAUUAUUUAAUUAUAUGUUUGAUGAUGUUGAUGCACUGUUAAAAGGUUAAUUAAAUAUCUAACAUUGUAUUUGGUCCUAUCUUUUGUCUAGCAAAUUCUAUUUCUUCAUGAAAUAUAUAAAAACCUCCAUAGUAUGGAUCAGGAUAAUUGAUUGUUAGAUCAACUAUCUCUCUCGACUGACUAUAAAUGCCUAGUUGUCUACCUCAGACUAAUACGAAAAAUGCAAAACGAUUAGUUUCUACAUGCUUAUUAAUCUGUCUAAAGUAAUGCAAGAGUGCAUUGGCUACUUUAAAUUUAUCUUUUAGGUUAUUACAAUUCUACGAAUUAUCUAAGAUGGAUUGUUGAUUGCCCAAUAAUUGAUAUUUACUUCUAAACCUUAAAUUUGUUCAUGAAGGGAACUCUCUAAGUGCUAUUGGACCAAAAUUCAUAUAUCACUCCAUUCCUAUAAAAUAAUUAUUGAAUAAUUAGUCUUGAAAGAAUAUCAGCUAAAAUAUUAUAUUUUCCUACUAUAUGUUCAAAUUUUGCUUUAUAUUCUCUACCUAUUAUUUCUUCUAAGAAAUAUAUCCAUCUUUUACUAAUAAAAGAAUUUUUCUUCUAAAAAAUCGUUCUUUUGUACUUUUUUAUAAAAUUUUAUAAUAUUAUUAUAAUAUGUUCUUAUUGUAAAUAUAUUAUUUUGUAGAUACAAAUGUAACGAGAUUAAAAAAUUUAUUAUUCUUAGAAUUUUUAAUUAUGUACUUGACUUUGUACUUUCUAUUUCUAUAAAAUUUUCACUACUAUACAUUGUUAUUUCUUCUUUCUCUUUUGAGCUAUCUUUAUUGGGCUUUUGUAUUAGUAUUCCUGUCCAUUCUAAACUGCUUGCAUCAGAUUGUAUAAUUUUAUAAUAAUUGUCUAUAGAUAAUGCUAAUGGCUUAAGAUUCCUAACUAUUCCUUUAAGAGUUUGUACUAAUUUUAUAUCUUCACUGUUAAAAUAUUUCUCUCCAUUUUUACUUAACUUAUUAUAUAAAGGUCUUGUUAGUGUACUAAGGUUCGAUAUAAAUUUCUGACUAUAAUUUAAUAAUCCUAAGAAUUUUUAUAGUUCUUCAGUAUCUUCUAUUUUAGCAUAAAAUUCUAACAUUUUACUAAAUAUAUGUGGAUGUAAUUCUAUAGUUCCUCUGUCAAUUGUUAGUCCUAAAAAAUCUAUUUUUUUGUUUUACUAAUUCAAUUUUCUUUUUAGAAAUUACUAUAUAAAAUUUUAUGUGAGUGAGUUACGUGCAUGAACUUAUUAUGACUAAAAACAAAUAAUCUAUAUAAACUAUACAAAAUUAUGAAAAAUGUUUUAAUUUUUUAUCCGUUCUUGCUUGAAAAAUUUGAGCUGAAUUUUUUAAUCCAAAAGGCAUUACUAACCAUUCAAAAUGUCCUUGUGAAUAUUUAGCACUUGUAUACAGUUUACUAUCUCAUCUUUAUUAGGUAUCUUAUAACUAUUGUCUAAAGUAUAAUCAUUUCUUGCUUGAAAAAUUUGAGCUGAAUUUUUUAAUCCAAAAGGCAUUACUAACCAUUCAAAAUGUCAUUGUGAAUAUUUAGCACUUGUAUACAGUUUACUAUCUCAUCUUUAUUAGGUAUCUUAUAACUAUUGUCUAAAGUAUAAUCAUUUCUUGCUUGAAAAAUUUGAGCUGAAUUUUUUAAUCCAAAAGGCAUUACUAACCAUUCAAAAUGUCCUUGUGAAUAUUUAGCACUUGUAUACAGUUUACUAUCUCAUCUUUAUUAGGUAUCUUAUAACUAUUGUCUAAAGUAUAAUCAUUUAAUCUUUUAUAAUUAAUUACCAUUCUACUCUUACCUCUUUUUUGUUAUAAUUAUUUACAAUAAAUGUUGUACUUCUAUGUCUACUUGUACUAUUCUCAUUACUUUUAAUUCUAAUAAUUCAUUUAUGUGCAUUUUAAAUUCAUUUCUAUCUUCUAAGCUAUAAGCUAAAUCCUGUGUUUUUAUUGUUAUAUUCGGAUUAUUAAAAUCUCUAAUUUAUAUAGUUCUUUUUAUAUUUCUAAUUAGAUUCUUGCCUAUUAUUUCUAAUUUUUCUAACUCUUCUACUUUUUUUUCUAAGGUCUGCAAGCCAUUUUUCACAUUCUAAACAUUCUAAUUCUUUUUCUAUACUCAUAACAUCUUCUAAAUCGUUGUCUAUCUCUUCAUCAUAUAACAUUUCUACUUUAGUACUUUCUAACUUAUUAUUCAUGUGCAUAUGUCACUUUCUAAUUCUAACUUACUAUCGUCUGCUAGCUCUUUAGUACUUUCUACUUUGCUAUCUUUUUAUUCUUCUAAUAAAAAAUCAAAGAAUUCUAUGUCUACUUCUUUUCCUAGCAUUAAAGUCUUCUUUUUCAUAUGACAAAAUGUGUGUUUCAUAUUUGGGUUGAAUAAAUUUUGAUUUUUUAAAGAAAUUAACUCCAUUUUGAGUUAUUUAUAUAUUACCAUUAUUUCCUAAUAUAAAGUUUAAUCCUAAAAUAAAUUUAUAUCCUACUUUCUGAUUAGAAAUAAAUGUUUGUGGUAAAAUGUGUGUUUCUCCAUUUAUUCUAAUAGGUACAUUAUUUAUACAUUCUGUUAUUUGCAUUAAUUCACCAUUAAACUGUCUAAUAUUUACUGGAUUUCUUAACUUAUUUCUAUUUUCUUUAGGUACUAAACUAUCAUGUAUAAUACAUUUAUUUGCUCUCGUGUCUAUCAUUGCUUUAGUGUAAAUUGUUUCUUUUUUAAAUAAUAAUUCUACAUCUAUUUUAUUAAUUCACUUCCUACUCUAUUUGUUUCUAUUGCUUUUUUAUCUUGGUAUUUAUCUUUGCAACUAUUACAAAAGAAUUUAUUUGUGUUUAUAUCUCUAUAUCCUAAUUCAAAAUUUUUAUUACAAUUUGUAGAAUUUAUACCAAAGAAUGAUGUAUAAGUUUCUAGGACAUUAAUUUCUAACAAUAAUAGAAUUAGAUUUAGAAAUUAAUGUAUUAUACAUGAUAGUUUAGCACCUAAAGAAAAUAGAAAUAAGUUAAGAAAUUCAGUAAAUAUUAGACAGUUUAAAUUAAUGCAAAUAAUAGAAUGUAUAGCUAAUAUACCUAUUAGAAUAAAUGGAGAAACACACAUUUUACCACAAACUUUUAUUUCUAAUCAAAAAGUAAGAUAUACAUUUAUUAAUGGAUUAAACUUUAUAUCAGGAAAUAAUAGCAGUAUAUUAAUAACUCCAAAUGCAUUUAAUUUCUUAAAAAAAUCAACAUUUACUCAACCCAAAUAUGAAACACACUUUUUGUCAUAUAAAAAGAAGACUUUAAUGCUAGAAAAAGAAGUAGAUACAAAAUUCUUUAAUUUUUUUUUUAUAAGAAGAAGAAAAAGAUAGCAAAGUAGAACAUACUAAAGAGCUAAUAGACAAGAGUAAGAUAGAAUUAGAAAGUGACACAUGCACGUGUAUAAUAAGUUAGAAAGUACUGAAGUAGAAAUUUUAGACGAUGAAGAGAUAGACAAGUAUUUAGAAAAUGUUAUGAGUAUAGAAAAAGAAGUAAAAUAUUUAAAAUGUGAAAAAUGGGCUGUAGACAUAAUAAAAAAAAGUAGAAGAGUAAGAAAAAUUAAAAAUAAUAGGUAACAACACAAUUAGAAAAGAUAAUAAAGAAGUAUAUAAAUUCUAAAUUAUUAAUCCAAAUAUAACAAUAAAAACACAUAAUUUAGCUUAUAGCUAAAAGAUACAAAAUGAAUUUAAAAUGCAUAUAAAUGAGUUAUUAGAAAUAAUAGUAAUAAGAAAUAAUACAAGUAGACAUAGAAGUUCAAUAUUUAUUGUAAAUAAUCAUAGUGAACAAAAAAGAGGUAAGAAUAGAAUGGUAAUUAAUUAUAAAAGAUUAAACGACAAUACUUUAGACAAUAGUUAUAAAGUACCUAAUAAAGAUGAGCUAGUAAAUUGUGUACAAAAUACUAGAUAUUUUUCUAAAUUUGAUUGUAAAAGUGGUUUUUGGCAAAUAUGACUCCAUGAAGAAUCUGUUCAAUGGACAACUUUUAGUUGUUCUAAAUGACACUUUGAACGGUUAGUAAUGUUGUUUGGAUUAAAAAAUGCACCACAAGUUUUUUAAGGUAGAAAAGAUAAAAUACUGAAACCCUUUACAAAAUUUUGCAUAGUUUAUAUGAAUGAUAUUCUUGUUUUUAGUCAUAACAAGUUCUUGCACAUAACUCACCUACAUAAAAAUUUAGAUUGUUUUAAGAAUAAUAAUAUAGUAAUUUCUAAAAAGAAAAUUGAAUUAUUAAAACAAAAAAAAAUUGGACUAACAAUAGAUAGAGGAACUAUAGAAUUACAACCACAUAUAGUUAGCAAAAUAUUAGAAUUUCCUAAUAAAAUAGAAGAUAUUACAGAACUACAAAAAUUCUUAGGAUUAUUAAAUUGUAGUAGGAAAUUUAUACCAAAUCUUAAUACAUUAAUAAAACCUUUAUAUAAUAAGUUAAGUAAAAAUGGAUAGAAAUGUUUUACCAGAGAAGAUACAAAAUUAAUACAAAAACUUAAAAGGAAUAGUUAGGAAUCUUAAGCUAUUAGCAUUGCCUAUAAACAAUAAUUAUAAAAUUAUAUAAACUAAUGCAAGUAGUUUAGGAUGGACAAGAAUACUAAUAUAAAAGCCCAAUGAAGAUAGGUCAAAAGAGAAAGAAGAAAUAACAACGUAUACUAGUAGAAAAUUUACAGAAAUAGAAAGUAGAAAGUCAGGUACAAAAUUAGAGAAUCUGUGAAUAAUAAAUUCUUUAAACUCAUUUCAUUUGUAUAUACAGAGUGACACAUUUACAGUAAGAACAGAUUGUAAUAAAAUUAUAGAAUUUUAUAAAAAAGUACAAAAGAAGAAUUUUGAGAAGAAAAUUUGUUUUAUUAGUAAAAGAUGGAUAUAUUUCUUAGAAGUAAUAAUAGGUAGAGGAUAUAAAGAAAAAUUUGAACAUAUUGUAUGAAAAAAUAAUACUUUAGUGGAUAUCCAUGUUGUUCAACAAUUGUAACAGAUUCUUUUGUGUUGCACAUACUUCGGCCACUGAAGGUUUUGUACACUCUCCUUUUGUUUUGUUCACGAAAUCACUCAGUUUCUCGUGCUUUGGACAAUCGUUUCCUGACGUGGUCCAUUGCAAAUGAGGUACACCAAGUUCUUCUAUUCUUGUAGAUUUCGUGGCUUGACUUUGUUUUGGUUGCCAUUCUUCUUCCCACCAUCAUGCUAAGAAUUUUCUUUCUUGCAAUCUUUUGAUUUCUUAAAUUCAGAAGGAGAAGUGUUCAUGAAUCUAAAAUCCACUAAACUAUCAAUAGCUAUAAUUGCCAUCGACAAGUCCCUCAUAGCUUGCUUCCAUAAUUUUGAUUGAGGCCAUGGUUGCAGUCUCAAUAUAAAAUUGAAGAGUUUGUCCUCAUCUGACAUGCUCUUGAUGUCCAAUAUCAAUUAAAUAAAAUCUUUGGCAUGCUUCAGCUCUUUAACGAUUUUUGUCUUCAUCCAGCCAGGAUUUCCUAUUAGAACUGACCCUUCGAUUCUUGGAUUAAUGUAUCCUAUGUUUCAAUUAUCGAUCACUAUGUGCUUCGACAUCCUCUUAAAGCCUACUCUGCUACCACAACUUAGCAUCACCUUCUAAGUGCAUGCUCGUGAUAGUGACAUGCUCCAUCUCUGAUACUCGAGCAGCUAGAAAGCAUUAAUCCACAUCUCACAGAAAAUUCUCCAAUUCCCUAGUAUUUUGAGUUCUACUAUAAGUCUUAGGUUCUGAAACCUUGACCUUCAAAGGCCCAUCUUUAGAAUCUAAAGCAUUGCCUACUGUGCGUUUCAGUAACCCAACUUUCUCUUCAAGUUCUAUAAUAUUGAUUUUCAGCACCUGCGCUUAUGAACAACAUUUUUCAUCACCUUGUUAAGCGUCUUCAUGAAAUCAUUUCCAAACUCCUUGCAAGUUUUUUGCAUACUUGCCAUCUUAAUUGAGUUGAUUUUUGUGUCCUUAGCCAAACUCUACAAGUAAGGCUACAAAGUGCCCAUAAUAGCGUCCAAUCAUCUAACUCAUCCUUUAUUAAUUCUCCUGCCAUGCUGGUUUUAGUCGCUAGUCACACAAUUCAUGUACCAUUGUUAAUUUCCCAAUAAAUUACAAAAUCUAGCUCAUGCAUCGUAGCUUCCCUAAAAUCACACAAUCAAUUAUCCUCGAACUGAUUUUAAUCGAGCCUUGAAAUCAUUUGUCACCAACAUUGAUGCAACCCUGCUUCGCAAUUGUUGCUUUGAUACCAAAUUGUUCUACCAACUGGAACAACCUAUGCUCUGAUAUUAGGUGUCCAAACAACUAAUGCAAUCUUUACUCUAACACUAAUUGUUCUAACAACUGAAGUAACAUUUGCUUUGAUACUAGUUGUCACUUGGUUUUUUUUGAAGACAUGACAACUUGUGUGAUGGUGCUAAGCCCCCACUUAGCCAAUCACUCAACAACGUUAAUGAAAGCAACCCAAAAGGCCCGUAAUAGAGGUUAUCACAAGAGAUAAGCCAAACCAACAAUAAAAAAAAGAAUAAAAAUAACAAGAACACACAAUAUUGCUUUUUAUGGAGGCACUGAUCCCUAACUUUUCAAUUCCUAUAAUAAGGAAAAUUAUGAAAUAGCUCUAAGCUUUGUGUGCUUAGGGACCACUCAUUUUACUAAAAUUUAGAUCUCCCAAAACACAGACGCACUCUCACUAUAUAUACAUGUUACAUAUGACACCACUUUUUGUCAAGGCGAGGUGGCUUGCUGUCCUUAUGCCACCUCAUUUCCUCCCCCCCAGACUAGGCACUAUUAAGCAUGAUUCUAGGAUUCACAUCUCUAUUCCUUUAAAGAUUAGGCAACCGCUGCCCACUACACUAGAAGCAAGGAAAUAAUGAGUAAUCGCCACUUUCUACUUCUCUUGUCUAUAUGUUUUUAGGCAUGAAUUUGAAGGCCACGUCUUUUGUUCGUUGCACCAAAAAUCUCACUCAUCUUUGUUUCUAAGACUCAUUCUUGGAAAUUUUCUAGCCAACAUGCUCAGCGUUCGACUACUAUUGCCCAAAUAUAGACCACAUGUAUAAUCCAAAUGUCUCUCAUAUUUAUAUAGUUUGACUCCCAUGUAUAUAUCUAUAUGUUGCACGUUGCGCAUUUACGUACUGCCUUGGACGCUUUUGCACCUGCUACCAACCAACGUAUGCGUUGCCUAUUUAGCCUGAGUACAACUGCAUUGCGCCAUCUUGUAUUCUGCCCAGUUCAGCCUAUAGGUGUGCUCUAUACAUCCCAUGCCUAUACAUUUAUAUAGAUGGUAGCACACAUCUUUGCGAGCACUGUCUCCCACUCCUCGCACUUGUCUUGGAGCAUGUGCUUGAUGUUGCGCCCUAGUUCGCAGUCCAGUCUAGUGUUACUUUUGUUCACGCCUACAAGUAUGCCCAUAAUGCUGCCAGCGGCUUGGCACAAGGCCACAAGCUAAGUCUUGGCAUAAGCCGUAAUGAUUUAUAGCGGUGACAAACCUCUUUAACCAGAAAACUUGAUGUCCUCGUCGAUAAGGUAAUAAGUCUACCAUAACCUCUCCCUCAUAUUGCCAUAGUAAAGCUUACAUUUCCUUCUCUUUGACAAACAUCCCUAUGUCAACAUUUGGCUCACUAUGCACCCGAUUUGCCAUUGUUAAUUCCCUUUAAUGUUCUGCAUAUAUGGAACUAUUUACUACCUAUUAAAUGAUUUUAGACUAAUAGUUUCUUCAUCUGUUAAUCGUAAAAGCUCCUACUUGCUUUUCUUGGAAAUUGCACAAUAAAGCUCAACUUUUGUUUCGAUUUCGCUAAGAACAUCAAAAGUUUUCAUAAAUUCUAGGGCUACAUAUAUCUUUAUCCACUUCAGGUCACCAUAUUGAACUAUCUCGCCAAAUAUUUGACGCUCACUCCACCUAAUUGCACACUAAUAAAUGAGGAACAAUGUCGUUACCUCUAAUAGGCACCAAUAAGAACCAAAUAGCCAUCAAUGAAACUUUUACUAAAUUUUUGCUUGUUGCCUUAAAAUGCUCGCCACACUUCUAUGCCCUUUUAUCGAAAUUUUAGCUUGAAUGACAUUGGUAUACCACAGUCGAUACUUUUCUGAAAGUCUUCCACAUUCUUAAGUACUUUGGUAUACCCAUCAAUUCCAUUCUUAAAUUGAAGGUGCUCCAUAACUAUGGACAUGAUCACGAAAUUCCCUCAAUUUACACCAGUUAUGGUAAAUUGGGAUGGUGGUCCCAACUUACUGAAACUUUUAAACUCACAUUUGACUGUGCACGACUCUUUCAUGCUCCUAAUCUAAAUGCAUAAUAAGCGAGAUAGUAAAUGUACCUCUGAAUUGUAUAAGAACUCCAUUCCUAAAAUUACAACAAAUAUCGUCGAUCAUAUAAUCACAAACUUAGCAUCUAGUGCCCAAGUUCCCAUACUUAGAUUGGCUACUACUGUAUCCUCUGGAACUACUUGAUUAUUAGAAGCAAAACUCAUGUCAAUGUUAGCUCUAGCAAUUUGCAGUCCAAGACGUGGUAUCAAAUUCGCCUUUACAUGUUUCACCAUUCCACCUCAUGUCUAUUAUUGCCCUUAUUUCUACUCUGUUAACUAUCAUUACUAUACAAAUCAGUCUACCUAAUUAGGAUUUACCCAUCAAGACACUUUUUAGCUUCUUUUCAUUUACGGGUACCUCCUUCACCUUGACAUUCAUGUUGUUUAAUAGUUGUAAUGGAUUUAUGCGUGUUGCGUCUAAUUUGGCAGCUGAAAGUUUCAAAGAAUCCCCUUCUGUUUCCUUAACCAAAGCAUUAAGCAUCUCAAGCUUUAGAUAAUCUUUUGCCCGAUGUGGUCAGUCGCAAAUGAAGUACCUUGAACCCUUUUUGUCUUGCAGUUCCUUUACUUGGCUUUGAUGUUGUUGCGAUUCCUCAUCCCACUAUCACACGAAGUGUUGCCUUUCUUGUUAUCUUUGGAUUUCUUAUAUUCAAAAGGAUAAGUAUUCAUGGGUCUAAAAUGCACCAAGCUAUCAGCAGCUGGAAUUGCCGUUGGUAAGUACCUUACAGCCUACUUCUGUAAUUUCGUUUAAGCCUAUUAGUGUAUACUAUUGCCCUCACUUUAUAUUUUCUUGAUGUCCAACAUCAAUGAAAUAAACUCUUUAACGUAUUCUCUCAAUGAGCCGAUAUGCUUUAGCUUUUUCAAGCUCUUCCCUCCAAGCCAAAUACCAUUCCUGCAUAAGAGUUGACCCUUUACUUCUCCUUUAAGUGUGUCCUAUUUUUCAAUUGCCAAUCGUUGUGUGCUUCAGUAUCCUGUUAAAGCCUACCCCAUUGCCACAACUUAGUAUCACCCUCUAAGUAUAUGCUUGUGAUAGUGACAUGCUUUGUCUAUGGUACUCGAAUAGCUAGAAAGUGAUGCUGUACGUCUUACUAAAAAUUCUCCAACUUCUUAGUGUUCUGAGUUCUACUAUAAGCCUUAGAUUCUAAAACCUUGACCUUUAAAGGCCCAUCGUUUGAACGUGAAGCAAUGCCUACUACCCGUUUCAGUUACUUAACUUUCUCUUUAAGGUCUCCAUUAUUUCUUUUCAGCACGUUCGCUCACAAGCAACUGAAUUAUAUUAUUUCAGUGAAGCCAAUUUAGAAUUUUAGUACUUACUAAAAUUUUUUAAAUCAUAUUGUUGUUUGAACAUAACUCCAACUAUAUUGAAUAUCUAACUACGUUGUUAUUUGACUUCGCUGUUGCCUAAAAGUUUUGUGCACAAUGAUACACGGCCAAUAUUUAGUUGGUAUUAAGAAUAGUAGAUUUAUGUACAAUAUCUUUAGUAACAUGCCAAUGCCAUGCUCAUUUAUAUUCACAUGUAAAUUAGGUUCAUAAGAUGCGAGUUGCUGGUAACUUGCUCGGUGAAGUAUCCACUGUGGUGGUGUGUGCAAAAGUGUCAUUUAUUGUAAUUCAAUGCCACUUAUGCGCAGAUGUGCAAUCAAUAGGCACUAGAUAAUUUACAAAAGAUAAAGCCACUUGUCUUUAACCUGAUUUGGCAACGAUACCAACAUCCAAGGAGGCAAAAAGAGAAUAAUUAUUUUAUUAACAAUUAAUAGAGUAUAAAUUUGAGUAAUUAAACUUAUUUUCCAAAUACUUAAAUACAUUUAGUACUCUCAACGCUCUUGAAGGAAACAAUCUGCCGAAGGAAACAAUCUCUCGUAUCCCUACAAAUAAUAUAGAUCUCAACUGAACACUCAAGAGAACACUCUCCAAACUUUUUAAGAACUCACUUGUAAGUACUCUGUUUCUCUGCACUCUCUAUCAAAGAGUUAAAUCUUAAGCUCUCUACAUUUUGGGAUGCUUUACUCUCUCUCUCUCUCUCUCUCCUCUCUCUCUCUCCAUUAAUAGUGUAAGGAUGGUGUUGUAGAAGUGCGAGGUUGAACAAUUACCAAUAUUACAAUGACUGUAACUUUUGGAGAAAUAUAAAUGUGACAAACAAAUGUAAAGAAAAUAAAACACAAUAAUUUACGUGGUUCGGCGUAAUGCCUACGUCCACAGGCAAAGACUGAAAGAUAAUUUUACUAAUAAUGAGAAUUUACAAAAGUGGGAAAAACUCACAAAACCCACAACCCUAAUACACCCAAAUGGAAUGAUGAGCAUAUUAUAUACACAUAUUUUAUCCUUAAUUACAUAAUUACUAGUUAUUUUUAUUUUUUAUUUUUAAUUAAUUGAAUUUUUUUAUUGAUUAGGGAAUUAAUUGGAGAUUAUGGAUGAAAAGUGCAUAAGGAAUAAUAAUUGAACAGCAUUAAAGAUCAAAUCAAUUUGUGGAGGCCAUUGAUGAAAGGGAGCUUAAAAAGGAAACAAAUUAGAGUUUAUGGAAAUAAUUGCCGCUUGUGAAGAAUAAAAGAAAAGAGGAAAAAGGAUGCUUAAAGGAGAAUAAUUGGCUUUCUAAGUGUGCAUCUUCUGUGAAUAGUUGGAAAAGCAUUGACCAUUGAUUUCAAGUGGGCUUCACAUACAUGGGCUUAAAGUUGGUUGUGCUUGGCUUGUUUUAAAAUCCUUUUGAUUUGAGAAUUUUGUGGUGGCGUUACAGUAUAAAAAGAAUUAAGGGGUAGCCGCCAGGAAAAAAAAGAGAACACGGAAAGUAGCCGCCAGAGGAAGGAAAAAAAAAGCAUACGCGAUUUGGGAGAAAACCGGCUGCAGCAGUUCGGCUCCCCAUAGCUGAUUUUAUUUCUUUUGUUGCUCCUAAUUCAAGUAUUUCUAGCUAAUUUUCUUAUACUGAGGUUAAGGAUGAAAUUCUAUUCAAUAAAAUAAUUAUUUUUUUCAUUUAAUUAAUUCCCUAUAUAUGUUUUUUUAUGAUUAUGAUUUUUGUUUCACAUGAUUAAUUGGGUGUUGUUAAAUCUUUUCACCAAUUCUGUCAUGCAUUAUUGGUUGUUAGGAUUGAUAUUCGAUUAAAUCUAUACUUGGAUCUAUAAAAUUUAUACAUGAUUAUAUUUGAUUUGGUGUCUUUCAUUAAAUUGUUUACACAUAGUGUUUAGGAAAACUUUGACUCUUUAUUAUUUAAUAUGUUUACAUGAGAUUCUUAGAUAUCAUUAACUAUGGCCAAUGGGUUGUGCUGGCAAUUGUCGGCCCACAAGGGCUCAUGGACCGGCACGGCACGACCCACCAAAUUGGUGGGCCGUGCCGUGCCCACCUUUUUUUCAGUUGAGCCCAGCAUAGUCCACAGCACGAACAGGUUUGUGCCGUGCUCGUAACGUGCUGUGGGCUGUGCCCAAAAAAAACCCACCAACUUUUUUUUUUGGCGUGCCUAAAAAAGCCGACGUGCCUGGCGUGUUUUUUUAAGCCCACCAACAUAGUAAUAGUAAUAAUAAUAUUCAUAAUCAUAAUCAUAUUAAUUUUUAUUAAAAGGAAAUUAACAUUUUAUUAUUAGUUUAUCACGAUUUCACAACUAUAUAUUUUAUUUCACAAUAAUCAAUCAUAACACAACAAUACAUAAAUUUAAUUUAAUUUAAUUCCAUAGAUAAUAAUAAUAAUUAAUUAAAAUUAAAAAUACAAUCCUCGAAUAAUAAUUACAAUAAGUCAUAACUACGAAAUAUCAAUAUAACAAAUCAUAGGUCACAACUUACAAGUUACAACUACGAAAUGCGAACUACGACCAAUUGACGAAUAACAAGCACGAAAAAAACAUUUAUUAAUCACAACUAUGUAUGCGGGAAACGAGCAAGUUUAAUUCUAUCUCGGCUAAGGUGGCGAGCUAAACAAUUUGACACGUGCCGACGUAAACCCAAGGUGCCAUGGCUGUCUGAAUAAAUAACUUCUCGAUGACAAUAGUUGCACCUCAAGAUCAUCCGUUUGUAAGGACGAUACAAACUAUUAUCUAUUAUUUCCUCCCUUAUUGUAGUAAAAUUUUGAAAAAAACUCAUUUAAAGAAUGACUUCUGGACUGAUUUAUCCUAGCGUUUUGUUGAGGUCCAACUACAUCAACACUGUAUUCUUGAGGGUGUUGAGGUUUUUCUGCAUUCAUUUUAUGUUGCAGCGGAUUCAUAAUGAUUUUGGUUUUUAGAAUAUUAGAAAGUUUGAGAGGAAAAAGAAGAAGAAUAAGAAUUGUGAAGCAUCAUAGCAUAAUGGCGUGUAUGUAUGAUAUUAGAUAGUAAUAAAAAGACAAAAAUUAAUUUUAUUUACUUUGUCGGUGGGAGUAAAAAGAGUAAGUAAAAAAAAAUUAGUGAAAUAAAAAUAUUUAUGAAUGAAUGAAUCUUGAGAUCUUAAUUUUUGUGGAGCCGUGAGGCUUGGUUGGCAUGUAGGAAAAAGAUCUUAAAUUAUUUAAAAAAAUAAAUGAAAAUAUUAAAACACAUGCACAAUUAUCCCAAUUUUUUAUUAUUUAAACUUUCAUAAUUUUUCAAAUUUUUAAUUGAUUACUGUUGUGCAAAUUUUAUUCAACUCGCAAGCGCACGAAUCUAUUGUAGAAUAGACUAAUGGUGACGAGUAUCGAUCCCACGAGGAGGUGGAUUUUAAUUAUAUGUAGAGUUAAUUUUGUAUGAGGUGGUUGGAUUUGUAGUGGAAAUGAUUCAAAUUAUCCUAAAAAUAGGAAUUAAAAUGGCGAGAAAAAUUAAAGUGAAAAUCUAUUAAAUUGACGUACUUGGGUAUCUGGAUCCGUAUCAACAUGCAUCAUGAGCUAAAUAUUCCUUAUUAAUACCAAUUAAAUCAUGAGAGGGGAAUCCAUACCUCAUGAACCACGCUCUAAUCAAUAUGAUGCUAAGGGCUUAUCGUGGCAAAUAAUAAUAACCUUAUACUAGGGAGCCGGUGAAACCAAGGCGGUACUAGACAAGAUUAUUAUUAUUUGUCAACGAAAAGUCAAAACAUCCACAAAAACUAGAGGGGAAGAGAAAAUAAAUUUACCAAAUAAAGCCCAUGACACAUGUUGAGACUUCACCUUCUACCCAAACUUAAAAGGAAAUUAGCCACUCAUAAUUGAACUAGGGGUAAAAUGGAAAUUUAUUAAAAUAUGUAGAAAAUACAAGAUGGAGAAGGAAUUAUAGAAAAUGGAGUCCAAAAAUGGAUUCAGAAGUAUCAAAUUAAGGGGAGAGGCCCCCUUUUUAUAGAUACAUUAAGUAAAUCGUGGCCAUCGGAUUAAAAACAGUUUGGACGCUCAGGAUUGCGCCACGUCAUCAGUCAACAGUAUGCGGUUUGACCACGUGGAUGAACAGUAACACGGUUUGACCGGGGUUGAACAAUGACGCGGUUUGGUUGCAAAUAAUCCUGUGUAAUGCAUGUACCGUACGCGAGAUUUUUAGUCCACUGAUAUGCUACCACGUCAUCGAUCAACAAUGCAUAAGAAUUUUAGUCCAACAAGAUCGUGACACCUCAUCAGUCAAUGCCACAUCAUUAGUCAAUGCCACAUCAUCGAUCCGUCUAUGUGAACAGUGUCGUGAACAGUAACGUAGACAGUACCGUACAUGUGAACAGUGUCAUUUUUCCUUUUAUGCUCCUCCUAAGGUUUUCGAUCGUCCUGAGUUCAAAAGUGAUAUCUGUUUUGCCAUCUGAUCUCUUGUUUAUUGUGAAAUAACCAUGAUACCCCUAAAAUACAUAAAAUACUUAAUUAAAAUAAAACACACAUAAUUAAAUUACAAGAAGCUUAAAUACAUAAAAAUAAGGGUUGUUAGUAAGACGUGAAAUGUAAAAUGACGAUUUUCUCCUUAAUAAAUAUGCAUUUUAUAACACUCAACACACCCCUCAACCAGCUUAUUGCUAGUCCCUAGCAAAUAAAGCGAAAACAAAAUUCAAAUCCAAAAUAAUUUAUUUUAAACACUCUUGUUUAUUCAAUCAGACUAAUGAUAAUAAUCAAAUAAAAGUAUAAACAUUAUCUCAAGCCUAAAGAAACAUUACACCCACAUCAACCAUCCACAUGAAAUCAGCCCAGUAGACUUUGUCGUAGCUACCUUCAAGAAUGACAUGUCAAACCCCAAAAUCUCACUGGAAGUAGUGACACUCUCACAAAAAAAUUAAAAACAAUAAAAAUAGUCACUCCAAUGAAUGGUAAUUGAGAGAAAAUAAUCAAGAAGUGAUAUCACAUGCUCUCACCAAGAUGAAAGAAAUAUGCCCUCAACUUAGAAAUAAUACAAUCUCAAGUAAAAAAAAAAUACUAGUCAACUCAAUUUAUUUAUUUAUUUAUUUUCAUUCAUCACUAUAUCUUUUUAGCCCAUAUAACUAGUUUCUACUUCAGACUAUAGUUCCCUAAAAUCAAGAAGGACUUUUAUUAGGACGUAACGUAGGUUAGGGACAUGGCUAACAAAGAAGGGAAAUAAGGAAAACAAAGUGUAUGUUUGAGACAAAUGCAGAGGAAUUUUUUUUUUUGGAAGUUGCAAGGUGGAUUUCACCUAUUAUUGUUAUUUUUAUUUUUGAAAAAUAAUUAUUUUCUUCUUUUUUCUUUUAAGAAACAACAAUUUUUUUUGAACUAGGCAUAACUUCACUAUACAAAAUAUUUAUUUACAUUUUUCUCAAACAUAAACAGGUGAUGGAACUUAUAAGAUAUUGGUUAAUACUCCAAAUCAGAGUGGGUCAAGAUGAUAAGUUUGACAAAGAAUUUUUUUUAUUUUUUAUUUAUUUUUUUUAAAGGCUCAAAAGGUUAACUAUGGAUAUUUGAUAAAAAGGAUGGCUAGAAAGGCUCAAACGGAUCAAAGAUGGCAUUUUCAUCGUCUUCAGGGGCUUUAAAUAAUCUUCCAUAUUUACUACUUAGAUGGGCCUCCAUAUGUAGCAACACACAUUUUUUUAUUCUUUUUUUUUUUAAUUUUACAAUUUUUUUUUUAAGGGUUAACUCAAAAGAAAUCUAGAGAUCGUGUAUACAAUAAUAAACUGCUAAGCUAUAUAAAGAAUGGGCAAAAGGGUUACUCUUCAAGAAAAAUGAUAGGCUGAAAAACUCACUUGGUACUUAUUAUGACAUGUUCAUUCCUUCAAGCAACUCAUAUUUGUCUCCGACAUCAACAUGUAGAGUAACAAAUAUAGCGUAACAUCACUUCAGACUAAAGAUAAUACAAAUACUAAAAUUUGAAAUUCAUCAUGUCAUCCAAUGUUAAAACAAAUCACAAAUUUAUUUAUUUAUUUUUUUAAACAACAUCCUACCCCCCAACCUAUUCUAACAUGAAAGGAAAAUAUACAUGCAGAAAUGUGAAAAUGAUGCAGAAAAACUAAUUAGAAAAUGAUAGAAAAUGAAAAUGGUUUGUUUUUUUUUUUUUAACUUAAGAAGAUGUGUUUCUAGAGGCACUACGCUCCAUAUUCAGCCAUUUUCGACUCAAAAAAAUUUGAAAAUGUAUAUUUAUAAAGGAGAAAUUAAAAAGAAAAAGAAAAAUGAACAUCAAAACAUAAUAAAGAAAAAGAAAAUGUCUGAAAUUUUUUUUUAAACGAUGAAGAUGCGUUUCUAGAGUCACUACACUUCAUAUUCAACCAUCUUCAACACAAAAAGUUAGCAACAGUUAGUUUCUACAACAAAAAAUAGUAAAAACUUAACCAAGAUUCCACAAUUGUCGACUAUUCCCUCCCCCCAACCAGAAUGAAACAUUAUCCUCAAUGUUUGAAAGGAAAGAAGUAGAGUUUAGAAGACAUCAUCUGGGUAGUGCAACACAGAAGAAAAUAUUUACAAGCGGAGAGUUAAAUCUGAUUUGUACUUCUUACUACGGCUACUGUUACCGUCAUUAUUUGGAUGCUCCAACACAAAGGUCUGGGGGUCUGGCUCCGGUUUAUAAGCUUGUAACAUAUCAAGUAGCUCAUUAGCAGUGUGAGCACAAAUAAAAAGUUUUUUCGCAUUGAAAGGAAUGAAAUAGUUUUUAUUGCAUGGUUAAGAAAUGCGAUGAAGCCAUCUUAAAAAUCAUUGACAUUUAACAAACCGAUGGGUUUCUGGUGAAUGUGCAGAUGGGCCCAAGAUGCUAGUGUGAUGAGUGCCUCUAGUGUUGCAAGAUCUUCUGGAAGGAAAAUAAAAGCAUCAGCAUGAUUAAGCAUUUCAGUUAUUCGUUCUUGCAUACUUGAGACAACUAACUCUUCUCCAGUUGAUGAGUCAGACAAACUACCCAAAGGUUUUAGGACUCUUGGGAUGAUGUCUAACACUUGGCUUCCUCUGACAAAAGCAGCUUCUGAGACCAAUUUUGACAACCCUCGGUUACCUCCUCCAUACACCAAGUGUAAUUUUCUCUCUACUAUGCUUCGACCAAGAUCUAUAGUUGUAUCAACGAACUCUUUAUGUUUGCCAUAGGUAAAUCCAGAAAGCACACAAAUGUUCUUGAAUUGUCUAUUGGGAGUAGCUGCCAUUGAAAUAUUUCUCAAAAAUAAUUUGUGAGUGCUUAACAAAAAGUCAUAUUUAAGAAUCUUGGUGACUGUGGAUCACAACUGUGUAUGAGGUAGCAUGUCAAUGUCAAAUAACGCGUAAAGCACAUGGCUAGCGAGUAAAAAAGGAAACAGUAAAAAGAAAAAGAAAAAAAGAAAAAAAUUAAUGAUAAAAUAAAAUUAUUAAAGACAAUAAUGCAAAUGAUAAAACAAUAGUGAAAUAAAAUAAUAGUGAAGUAAAAGGAUAUUUACAAGUAGUUGUAACUGUGGCUCACAUCUUCCUCUGGUUUUACAUCCAGAAACUUCUUGAAUGCCCUCUAUGGGUCGAGGAUGGGCUUCCCAUCCAGUUUUCUUAUAAACUGGCAAACAAGGUCGUUUAUAGUCAGAUUCCCAAGACUAUAUCGUGUGUUUGCGGCUGAUUUUGGGUCAAUGAAUAAAAGACCACAAAACCAACCCAAGAGCAAUAAAUUUAUAUUUUUGUCGGGGAGCAGGGUACCUCGCUUGUUCGGCAUGUGCGGGCUAUUUAGUAUUUUUGUGGAGCGAAGGAGGAUUGAGAUGACGGUGGUUAUGGAGGGGAUCUGACUUUAGGUGCGGAGGGCUGGUGAAACUCGCCUUAAACCUGCGAAACAACCAAAAAAGAGGUUCGAGGUGGAGCCGGGGGUGGCCGGCGACCACACUCCGACGCUCAAGUCAGAGUUGGGUUAUCUCAGCUUAGAGAGCUUGCAAGUUCUCGGUAAUGGAGAUUUUGAGGUUGAAGAAACCCUGGUUUCUUUUUUGUGGUGAGUGUGUUUACUUACUUGAUAAAAAUUAAACCUGAGUAUUUAUAUGGUGUACCCCGGGUCACCGUGCCACCUGGCAUUAUUUUAGUGGCGUUCCCUGCUGUUAUGUCAGGAAUAUUCUUAUUUUCAUGCGUAUGGAGGCUUAGGAGUUUCAAAAAUAUGCGUGGAGAGCAAGUUUAUGGCGUAUUCACGUGCUGGGCGUAGUGGAGUGGUCCCGCGUACCUCUGCAAUUCCGUUGUAAUUUUGCAGGCGCAGCAGGAAAAGCUAGUGGUCCCAACUGUCAUAAUAUCACACUUUUGGCGGAUUCGCUGGCGUGACAGGCGGCUGUCUCCUCUUUUGCGGCACGAUAUUUCCUUAUUUUUUGACACAUAUCAAACUGAUCUUUUUGAGACUCGGGGCUCACAUAUCCCUUCACAUAUUUACGAAGACUUUUGUAUCCUUUCAUAGUGUACCCGAGGUACCCCCAGAGUGCUUAGGGUAGCCGGGAUAUCUAGGGUAUCCGAGGUACCCGAGGUACAAAAGGUACCCGAAAUAAAUUAAUCUCUUAAAUAUCGACACGUGGCGCUUCAUCAUUAGCCUCAUAUUUCCUUCCCAAACAACAUCCCCCUAGUUUCUUUGUAGCGAAUUUAAUUAAGGUGCAAGAAACUCUUGAAAGAAUUAUGUGUGACACGUGGCGAUAUUUAUACUUUUUUUUUUUUUAACUCUGAACUGAUGCCUGUCUUCACGUCUCUCCAACUUUCCUUAGAAGUGGUAACAGCCUUGACACAUUGCUUUGCUCUGACUUUUAAAUUUCAAAACCAGUCAAAUCAUUUCAACCACCUUCUGCACGUUUCAUUCUCACUUUUUUUUUUCUCUUUCAUUUUGCAAUCCCCAAAAACUCUUUCUCUUCUUCUCCAAUUUCCAACGCCUCCCCAUCUCCAUUUUUUCUUCUUUAUUUUCCUUUUUGCUUCUUGCCCUUUCGGCUUCCAUCUCCUUUCUUCCUCUUUUUUUUUUUUUUUUUUUUGGCUUGCUCUCGGCCAACCAUCACAUUUCUUUUCUCUUUUUACAUUCCCCCUUUUUCUCUUUUCUUUAGCUUUCUCCAGGCAACUUUAACUCCCUUUUUUUUUCUUCUUUCUUUUUCCCCUUUUUUUUUUCUUCCUUCUCGGCCGGCCUUGGCUCCCGUGAUUUCCAAUGGUGGCGUGACGACGGCGUUCGGCUGGUGGUGCAAUGAUCUCCUUGUGGUAAGCCAUCUUCUUCCCCCCAUUUUGCUUCUUCGUUUCGUCUAGUGGCCCUUUUUUUUUUUCUUUACAUCAUCCAAGCUCCCUUUUUUUUUUUUUAUAUCUCCACGCUUCCGUCUCUUUUUUUUUUUUAUAUAUAUAUACCUCCAAGCUUCCCUUUUUUUUUUUUUUAUCUCCAGGCUUCCCCCAUUUUUUUUUUAACGAAUUUCAUUGUGUCUAUGACAGCCUCUGCACAGCUCCAUAGUUCGAGUAAUUUUUGGCGAUCUGUGACUUCUGUUGGCAAUUUAUAGUCUAAAACUUACUUGUUGGCGACUGAAAUUUGCUACUCUCGGUGAGAUAUAGGUAUAAAAUUUUUCAUACCUAUUUUUGACUUCUUUAUUUUGAAGAAUAAUGUUGUGGCUUUGUUUUUGGAUUUGUUUUUGGUUUUCAUGCAAAGUAUUGGCAUUUUUCUUUUUUGUUUAUGCUUUUAUUGGUGGAUGUUGGUGUUUGGCUUGUGAUGGAUGAGGUCUGAAGUUGUGGGGGUAUGUUUUGAUGUGGAGAUUUUUUUUUUUUUUUUGUGUCUUGUGUUUUUAGGAGAACAAGAUGGGGAGAAAAAAUGUUGGGAAAAAGGGUCGUAAUGUGGUUAGGGAGCAGGAGGAGACGAGUGAGGAGGCUCCUCUUUCUGAUUCAGCCCCUUAUAUAUCCCUUAGUGACGACGAUGGGUCCCCUUCGGCUAGUCCCAAGUUAUCUCGAACCAAAACCAGUAAAAAAUUAAAGAUUAAAGGCAAACACCCAGCUAAGCCAGCCCAUAGAAAAACUCAUGCAAAGACAUCCAGACCCAAAUCUCUUGUUCCUAUCAGCAUUCCAGAACCUCCCCUGAUCUCUCCCUCUGUCUCUGUAGCUCCUAAGCUCUAUGCACUAGGGGUAGGCUGGCUACUCCGAGAGAUUUAGAAAGGGUUAGAGCCAAGUACAACAUACCUCAGUCUGUCCACCUUAGGGUACCUCGCAAGGGCGAGCGCUUCGAGCACCCUCAUUCUGAUGAUGUUGCCCUUCAUAUCGACCUUUUUGACUUAGGUCUCCGUUUACCCCUUCAGCCAUUUUUUAGAAAAAUGUUUACUGAGGCGAAAAUUGCUCCCGGACAUUUAUCCUUACCCGGUUGGAGAUUGCUCACGGGUCUGGAGGUUUUGUGGCUAGAUAUUUUUGGGGAGGAUAUUUCUUAUGGAGAUCUAAGGGGGCUUUAUCAGUUGAAGAAGCCCGCUGGUUUAUCUGUAGCCUAUUUUGCUACUUGGGGGGUUCAUGGUAAUUUGGUGAGACCGAAUCCCUUGCUGAAAAAGGGCUACAAAUAUGGGUGGUUUGUGGCUGAGGGUGAGUGAGGGAAGAGCAUUCCAGCGGGGAAUGAAGUUGUGCAAGUUCGGAACUUCUUCAAUGAAGAUAGUAUGUGUUUCUUUCCUCUUAUCUCCCUUUCUAUGUACAUAUACACCUCUUCACAUGAAUUUUCUUCUUAUUCAUUGCUUUUUUGAGAUUUUUGCAGACAUCACUUGGACCAAGGGAACGUGCCCAAUCCAUGAAGUGGGGAGGAAAGUGAAUGGUGUUAUAGAGAAGUUCCAGAUUUUGCAGAGUGAGGGUGAUGUUCUGUGCACUUCCCAGUUGGCGAGAGCUGGUCUGAUUAAGGAGAGUUUUCAGUCUUCUUCGGGGGGCGAUUCACAUAUGCCUAUGUGGUGUUGCUGGGGUACCCCGCCUUCAUUGGUUCUGUGGGGUGCCCCCUUUAUUUGAACAAACUUUUUUUAUGCUUUGGUGGCCAUCUCUUAUUUUUUCUCAAUGUGCCUUUUUGCCAAUGUCAACUCUGUUGUUUAUUUUCCUGAUUUGUCUCUUUAUCUCACCUCUUUUUUUGUUGGAUAGGCAUGGACCCUUUUGGCGAAGAUUUUGAUGCCUUUUUCAGUCGCAUGAGCGGCAGCUCCUCCGGUACCCUGGGUACCUCCGCAAAAGGUGACUGACCUCCCGUCGUUCUAGGCGGCAAAGGAAAAUUGCCCGUCUCCUCUCUUGGGGGUUCUCGGGGUACCCUGGCUACCCACAAGAGGAAGUUUGGCUCCCUUUUCACGGCUCAUGGAGACCUUAUGGAGGGCGAGCUGGAUCCGGUGGCUAACAAGCGGAUAUCGCACUUGACUGAUUGCUUCCUUCAUUCCUCCGAGAGUAUUUCCACAGACAUGGCAAUGGAGGCAGAUAAAUUAGAUUUAAAUGAGCGCUAUAGCCGAGCGCUCAAAGCUUGUCAUGACGUGAGUGCCUCUCACUCUUUUCUUUUCAUUCUUUCUCUCUUUUUUUUUAUCGUCCUAACUCCCUUUCCUUUUCUUUAUUAUUAUUUGUGUAGGCGGCUUUCUACCUUAGCCACGGUCUCCGAGACCUUAGUGGCAUCUCGGCUGCACAGACCGAAGUAGAGAGGCUGCGAGGUGAGGUUAGGUUCGGCCAGUCUCGGGAAGAGAAGUUAGGAGAGGAGUUCAGGGCUUUGCAAAGGCGCUUGGACGACCACGCCCGGGAGAAUAGCCGAUUGUCUGGGAAGUUGGAAGAGGCGGAGUCUAAGCACGGCGAGCUACUAUCUCGCCAACCGGAGAUGAUGGACAAGGCCUUUACUCUUAUCAUGACUGAGGUUUGGAGCGUCAAGCCUGAACUGGUGGUACCCCCGGUGGAGAAAUGGGUGGACAAGUCGGUCAUCCUUAAAGCGAUAGAGGACAAUAGGGCUACCCAGGCUCCUCCAUCUCACAGCCCACAACGAUCUUCUGGGGUACCCCAGGUACCCCAUGCGGAUCUCCCUUCGGUUAGCGCUGUUCAUGCGGGUAACCGCUCUUUGGCUGCGAGUGUUCCUAUUGAUGCCCCCGUUGAGGGGAACAGUGGAGAGGAUGUCCCCCCUUCUGCUUGAUCUUGCUUGUUAUUCAGAACUUUAUCUCGAGAUGUCUUAGCAGCUUUCUUUCUUUACUUCUGUACCUUUUGUAGUAUGGUAUUAUCCUUUUGAUGUGUUGGGAUACUUGUCUUUUGGAAGGUUGCCUCGACAAUCUUGCCUACUCGUUCGCAUUAGCUUCUGCAAUAUACUUCAUUUGGAGUGCCAUUCAAUUCCUUGCUUGUGAUUGAUUUACGUAGCCUUGCGGGGGUUCCUCAGGUGCCCCAGGUACCCCCCCUUAUGUAUUUUUGGCGCUUGCGUGUUGAUUUCCGUAGAUGUGCUCACUGCUCAUCUUAAUAAAGAUUAUGGCGUAUCUCAAAAUAAUUUAAUAAUUCGCACAUCAUCAUAAGAUAAAAUGAAAUUCAUAUUUGUCACAACUAGGAUAAAAUAAAGAUUAUGGCAUAUCUCAGAUAGACUUGUGGAGUUUCUCGGGUACCCCAGGUACCCUCUUUUUUUUUUUUGGAAUUGGAUGUUAUUAAAUAUUUUCAUCAAUUCUGUCAUGCAUUAUUGAUUGUUAUGAUUGAUAUUCGAUUAAAUCUAUGCUUGAAUCUAUAAAAUUUAUACAUGAUUAUAUUUGAUUCUGUCUUUCAUUAAAUUGUUUACACAGAGUGCUUAGGAAAACUUUGACUCUUUGUUAUUCAAUAUGUUUACAUGAGAUUCUUAGAUAUCAUACUAUUAAGUAGAAAAAGAACCUAUACAAGAUUAAUUUUAAUUGGGCUUAAUUGUUAUAUUUAUGAGAUGACAUUGAUUGAUUUCGAGUUGUCACUCUAAAAUUGGGAAUUAAUUAAUAAUUAGAUAAUUACUAGUUGAAUAGUGGUGGAUUCUGAAACCUUGGUAAUUUUUGUCUUAUUGAUUUCUCAUUUGCUUUAAUUAUUUUCUUAGUUUAAUUUCCGUUAAAAAGUCAAUUUGCUCAAUUAGGUUAGAAUUAAUAUUAAUUUUAGAUUUAAAUUAGAUUUUUCAAUUUAUAACAAUUCAUGUGGGUUCGACCUCGUUACCAUUAUUCUAUUUCUAGAUUCGUGCGCUUGCGAGUAUAUUAAAAUUUUUCACAACAUGAAACCUCACUAGAACACUCAAGUAGAAGCUCUCUCAAAUUCUCUCAAAGAGCUCACUUGUAAUUGCUCUCUACUUCUCACAAAUUGGGAUGCUUUGCAAAUGCAUUCUACUUUUCUAUUUAUAGGAAAAGCUUACAAUAUGAAUGCACGAAAAAAACUUUCGCCAUUUUCAAUUUUAAUGGCUUUGGUGUGACUUUUGGUGAAGAGAUCAUAUACAAAGGGGGCUCUAGCACUUUACUAGUAGAAUAUCAAGCAAGUAAAAGGGCUUGACAGCUUACCUUAUUAUUAAGGAAAUGAGGGAGGAGGAAUAGGCCCCCGCGGAGGGAAACGUUACUCGCCUUUGCUUAGCUUUUCAUGUAGUUCCGUCAGGGUUCUUGAGAGAUGAAGACAGAGAGAGAUCGGUUGAGUUGAUUCCCGUCCAAGGCCAGUGAUGAGGAUAUGGGACUUUGCCAGGUAUUCUUUCUCUUAAUAGCGGAAUCUAAUUAAUAGAAUUUUUGCUUCUUGUUCACUCUCCUUCCCCAAGUGUUUGAUGCUCAGUCCAUCUGCGAGGACAUUGAUCAAUGGAUGAAGCAAGAGGAGGAGCCUCUACUGAAUUCCGCUCGCCCCGGUCCCUAGUAGCGUUGACUUUGCCAACCUUUGGAUGUUGUUGUGAUGGUUAGGCUGAGUGAGUUCUCGCGAAUCAAAGAAGGAUCUAAAAGCGGCUUAGGUAGAUGAUUGGAUUCUUUUUUUUCAUAUGGAAUAGCUCAUCUCAUAAAGAGCAAGGCAGAUUGGUGGAUAAACGGUAGAUCUCUUUUCGCAAUGAAUAAAGAAGUCUAACAGUUUCUCUCGGCAUCUGACUUGAUUUUCUUUUACUUCUCGAAGUUGGAUUUACAGCCAGACUGCUACUACUACCAGGUGUGUAUCGCGGAAGGAGACGACCCAAAGAUGACUUGUGUGACAAGCAAGCAACCUUACUAAAGGGGCGUUUGAUUGUUGCCUUUUGGACUCACAUCUUCUUUCUCACUCACUAUUUCUUUUUUAUUUAGAAAUUCAUCAUAUAGACAUCCCAUUUCGAUUUUCGCUUGAACAAUAUUGAUGUAGAAUAGACUGAGAUGUGUAAUGCUUUUCCUCUCUCUUUUUCUUCUGCAUGUAGUGCCUUUUCUUGUUUUGAUAUGCCCAAAGGUUAGGUGCAAUAAGUUUCAAAAUCUCGAAAAAAUUUGGCGUGGUUUUUCUCUAAAAAUUCAAAGGGUUUUGCCAGAAAGAGUUUGGGGAAUAGCAAGCCAUAAAUAAGGAGGGAAGAGCGGAGCUCGAUAGAAAGCAGAGGCAAGAUAGUGGUUUGUUUACAACUAGUCGUGAUCAAAGCUCUUUCAAGCGAAAAGGCACAUGGGUUCCAUUUUUUUCUAGAAGAUUCUGUAUUUCCUCUAUAAUGAGCCUUGCUUAGCUUCCACGACUCCAACGAAUGUGCUGAGAAAAAGCACUGCUUGUCACAUGACUUCUACUUUUUUCUAGGAACAACAACAAGAGAAGCUGGUCACAAGCAAGGGAAGAAAGAAGCGAAUCCACACGAGUCUAAGAAGCCUUGAAAAUAAAGAAAAUAAGUCUCACUGACGGCUAGGGGAAGGAAGGCCAGUACAGCAUACUUUCAUAAAGUGCAAGGAUCCACUAGGUUGGGUUUGCUAGUAACGGCUACUGAGGUGUAAGUAUAGUUUGAAGGGCUUCGUCAGGCAAGAAAACCACUUCAUCAAAGACUUAACAAACCCCAUUGGUGCACACCACCUUCCAAGACUGAAUCAAUGGGUUGAUUAGAUGGCAGAAGAAAAGUACAUAUGGUAUUUAAGGUAGCGUAUGAGAUAACAGACUACUAAAGGUACAUAUGUAACUCACCACUCAUUGGUAAAAGAGAAGAGAGAAAGGACCAAUUGAGGGCCUUGGGGCCGGAAUGCGGUAGGGUCUUCAAGCCCCGCGCUCGAUUCUUAGUAAGAAAGAAUAGAAGACCUACUAAAGACAGAUUGUCAAAUGGCGACGUCUAUAAAGAAGUGCUUAGAUAAUAGGGCUAGAUAGUUGUAUUGAAUCAGGUACAUGGUGAAUCGAUCACUCUCUUCAUCGUCAGGUGUUGAUAGAUGCUCGACCAAGGAAGUAAUAGAAGGUGAUGGCAAAAGAAUUAGAAUUGCGAUAUAAUAUCACGGAACCUGGGUAUUUAGAGAAGGUAGGGGUUAGCUAAAAAUCUUCCUGCAUAUCCAUACAAGACCCAAGUAGGCGGGUCGAGGUCCUACGAGGUACCCACUACUCGGAGUACCCUCUCAAAAGGAAAAAAAAAUAGUGUGAUGUGUUUGAACACACCUAUACCACGGGUAGGUGUAGCGGAAUAGAUUAUUUAUGUAAUCAAGGCAUUAUCUGGAGAAAGAUUUCAUUGCGAAAGCCUGUCCUUCUUCAGACCCAGGUCAUCUAGUCGGGGUCGACCACAAUUCCCCAAGAAAGAAAUAGAUAGAAUUUCACUAAUUAGAAGGAAAAUGAGGUGAACGAAACUUGAACAACUAGAGUUCUAAUCCUGUUGGGGAUAGUAACUUCUUAGAAAAGUAAGGACGUGACUCGUUUUCCAGCGGAAUUCGAAGAUUAGUCUUUCUCGCCUAGGAGUCAAUCACUUUUAGAUUAUGGCUUGUAAAGGUUACGAUAGCAAGCCUCUCUCCAGCCGGAAAGCUUCUAGGACAAGGAACAAGAAAACAGGUACUCAAAUGUCAUUAAGUUUAAAGUACAACUUUAAAGUUUAUAAGUUGCGGCGCUUUAAGCAAGAAAUACGAAGCGAUGACUUUGGCAAGUCACAUAGGCGUUAAGAAAAGGUGUAAAAUAUAUCAUAUGCUUGCUCAUUUCAUGAAUCUAUCCUAAGGUAAGAAAUGGUUUAAUUAAUGGAGAUAUUAACUCUUCCGGGAACUAGUAACAUGUAAACCAUAUCAAACCAAUCCCAAUGGACAAACCCUCGAUCCACUUCUAGCUCUAUAGCCCUCCUCUCCUGGGCCUAUGUAAGAAAUCUUCCUUUCAGUCGAGCUCAAUUGCAUAGAACCUGCUUCGUACUUUCCAGCCUCUUUCACUCCCUCUCUCAUUAUUAGUUAGGGAAAAGCCCUAACAAAUAAUAGAUAGAAAUAGCAAAAAGGGGCUGCUAGUUGUAGGGUGAUAGCGUAGCGCCAACAAAGUGCUCUACAAAGGAUGUUAAACCCCCCUUAUCAAUUAUUUUUUAGUACUUUUUAUUUUUAGAAACUUUUUUUAAUAUUUUUCCGCUAGUGGUUCGAUAGGCGUUCACCAUCAACAAAAUGGAAUAUAUUCUAGUAUACUUAAACCAAGAAUGUGGCACGCCCCUAUUUGUAUUAUCAUAUUUCACACUAUGCCUGGUUCUUUUGCACAGUGUCAUAGUAAGGAUAAAAUACUUAGUUAGACUAAGGCUGGGCUGCCCCUGCUCAGGCAUUACCGAAAUAGCAGAAAUGUCAUCUACCUUUCCAAUGGAAUCUUUGACCGACUUUGUUUUCGCUCCGCUCGUAGGUGGCACUCCUUGCUCGCGGAGCAGCAUAUCGAAAAAAGAAAGGUAUUGGAAGCCCUGAUCCACUCACACCAUCUAGAGGUGAAACCAAACUGCUGCAGCAUCCUCAAUAUAUCAUAAGAUAUCAAAUUGGAUAUCUCUUCCCUCACCUUCGGCGACCCUUAUACUUUCUUGAGAUGCAAGCAGAGGUCAAGAGAGGCAUGGUAGCACAAAAGAAAUCCCAUAUAAUAAUGAAACCUAGUCUGCUGCUCGAUUUUCAUGAGCGGCGGGGAGGUAGGCGAAGGUAGCUUGCUUCUCUUCUCUUGGGCUACCCACACAUGUUUUUCGCGAAGAAAAGGCAGCGAAUGGUUAUUCAUUUAGUAGAGCUACCGACCAUCAGACGACGACCACUUAUUCAGUUUGUUAUCCGUUUCACCGAGAGUGAGGCUUUCCCACUGUAAUGGAAAGGUCAGUGAAAUCCGUAAAGGAAUGCGUAAUCAAGCAUGCCUCAACUGGAUAUAUUCAUUUAUUUUACACAGUUUUUUUGGUUAUGUCUUUUCUUCCCCUACACCUGCUCGGUCGGAAAUAGCUGCUACUUACCUACGAUUACUCAGCGGCCUCAGAGACCGAACUGAUCUAUUAACACCUACUUUAUCUAUGGGGUCUCGUGAAAUGCUAGUUAUGCAACCCAAGAGGGGGUGAAUUGGGAUAUUAAAAAUUAUUCAAUUUUAAAACAAAACUCAAUGCAAAUCGAAGACGGAUUUAAAGCAAUAACAAAUAAAUCAAUCAAGCACAAUAAAAAGAUUAAGGGAAGAGAAAACAAACACAAUGAUUUUUACGUGGUUCGGCAAUCCCUGCCUACGUCCACGCCUCCAAGCUCAUUGGGUUUGAGGAUUUCACUAAGCAAGCCUCCAAGGCUUCAAAUGCUUACAAUUAACUUCCAAGGUGUCAAUGGACCUUCACAACAAGAGAUUAUCCUAAUCUCUUAACCCAAGUGUAUCUCAACACUUACAAUCUUUUGACUUGAUUUUACAAAAAGGAUUACAAAUGAAUUUCUCUCACACAAUGUGUUUGAUCACAAAUGAAAGCUCAAUAUGUGAAUGAAUGAGAUGAAUACAAAAAUUUAAAGCUCAAAGAAAGUUGUAUUCUCAAUAGUUUGCUCAAUGAUGAUCGUUGGGAUUGUUUUUUGUUUGAAUUGGAUUGAGCUUAUUUAUAAUUGGAACUGAAAAACUAGCCUUUAUUGACUGUCUGCCCGUAAAUGGAUCGCCGUUAAUUGUAAACGGUUAACUGUUUAUUCUAGUCAAAGUUACCUCUGAGCUGAAUUUCAAAUAAACGGUUGACCGUUUGUCACUAUCGAUUCACUAUUAAUUUCCAGAGACCUACAAAAUAAAUUUGGCUUAACCGUUCUCACUAAACGAUUCAAGGUUAGCAAUCUGGAAAUAAUCGGUUUACCAUUUUCAGUAAACGGUUCACCGUUAUUUUCCAGAAUCAUCAUUUUAACAAUACUUUGCAGAACAUGCUUUCUGGAAAUUAUCGGUUAGCCGUUCUCAAUAAACGGUUAGCCGUUUGCUACAGUGAUUGCUACAAUGAAAUUAUUUUCUAAAAUUAUAGUUUUACCCCAAAACUAUCAAUAAUUAUACUAGGGCCCAAAUUGUCAUCAAACUUUACAAAUAAGUCCAUUUCCAAAGUUUCAAAACUUUUUCAAUUUAGACCAUUAAUUGAAAACAACCAAUUUCAUAAAAUCAUUUCUCCAUUAAGUAUAAAGCCUUUAUAUUAUGAAAAUAAUGAUUUAUUUAAAAUAAUUUGAGCUUUUAAAAACUUAAUCAUUCUUAAUCUUGUUUGUUAUCAUCAAAAUCAACAUUAUGGAUACAUAUAUACUAACAAUCUCCCCCUUUUUGAUGAUGACAAACCUUGCAUGUAUUUAAAGAAUGAUUCCACAACUUGCUCUUACAAUUUAGCUAAUUAGCUAAAUUAACAAAUUUAAAUACAUGCAUUUUUGUCCCCCUUCAUCAUAAAAAAAAAUUUAAUUGGUAAAGAAAAAAUAGCAAAUUUUUAUAAAUUUAAAAACAUGUACUCUUCUCCCCCUUCAUCAUCAAAAAGAAAAUGUAAAGGAAAAUAAUAAAAGUAGCAAAUUUGUUACCCAUAUUGUCCGAAUAGAAAUUUCGACAAAAUCUCUCCCUAACAAUAAGCAUCACCUCAAAUACAAGUUUAGUAAUAUCACAUCCAAAUUAUUAUAGAUCAUGAUAAAAGCCAACUCCAUACACAAAUCAUCACACCAAAAUAUCAUGAACCAUUAUUCCAUCAAUUACCAAGUCAACAACUCAUAACAUAAAAUUAUCAUAUAAAACUCCAUGUAAUCAAAUCAUCAUCAUAUUUCAAAAUCAUCACCAUAAUCACAUAUUAAUCAUCAAAACAAUAUUCAAGAGUCCAUAUUAUUCUCCUCCUUUUGACAACAUCGAAAUGGUAUAUUACUUUGUCUUCCCCUUUGGACAACCAAAAAGUUCAAAAUGUAUAUUAUCCAAAAUCAUAUUGUAUGCUCCCCCUAAAUAUAUGGCCAAUUUUAAAUUUUAACCAAAAUGAUUUUAUCCGAAAACAUAUCACAUUUAUCUCUUCCUUCAUUAUAAAAAAAAUAAAAGAUAGAUAGAUGCAAUCGAAACAAGAUCAUUAAAAAAAAUAACUCAAUGAAGAUAUUACUCAUUUUGUGCGUGCAAAAAUUUCGACAGAGUCUCCCCUUAAAAAAUGAACAAAUCCUCAAAUUCACAACAUGGUUAAAAACGUUUCCAUAUAAGUUUAAACAAUUAUAACAAACCAACAACUCCUUCAAUUCAUCAAGCAACGGACAUAUAAUCAUCAAUCAUCAAAAUCAUCAAGAAAUCAAAUCAUCCCAAGUUUAUGCCGAAUUUUUGAAAAUAGCUCUUCGCAAAGAGGUUUUGAUUUCUUUACUAAAUUGGCAUGCAUAUUAUCAACUAUCCAAGUUCCAUAAUUACCGAUCACAUUUUAUAUAUCAAGAGAACUAAACUCAUCAAAGAUCUAAUGUGACAUUUCAAUAUAACUUAAAAAAUCUUAUAUGCUUAAAAUUCUCGAAAUAUAUGUAUUUUUUCCUUUUUCGAUAUCAUUUAAAACAAGAAAGACAUAUUCAACAAUACAUCGAUAAAGUAUAAAAAAAAUGCAUUCAUUUACUAAUCAUAGAUUGCAUAAGAUCAAAGCUUCAUCAAAUACAAUGUAAUCAUCACUGCACAUUUUUUUUAUCAUCAAAAUUUAAGUAAAACAUAAGUACAUAAUGACAAUAUAAGAUCAUCAAAAUCAACAUACCUAUUAAGAAAAGCUAUCAUUAUAAGUAAAGAACAAGUGAUCAAAUUCAUAAGUACAAUAAGUCAUUUGUGCAAAUUUUAUAAAUGAUAUAACACAAUUAAUGGCAUAUGAAUUCACACAUACAUAAGAGAUGGACAAUGAUGAUAGACAAUUAAGAAGAUGAAAUUAAAGACCAUACAAUCAUCAAAAUCAAAUAAAGGCAUCAUGAUAAAUCACUCAAUGUUAUACACAAUGAUAAUUCCAUCAUGUAAACAUACAAGCAUACUUUCGCAAAAUCAAGCUAUUAUCCAUUUAUCAUGAUCCACUCAACACAAUAAAUAGGCAAGAUAAGCUUAUCCACAUCAUAUUAAUGCACUUAAUGUUAUGAUAAGAUAUGAAAUACUUACUAAGAUUAAAAGACUAUCACUUAUAAUCAAUAAGGCAAUAAUUGUUACCAAAACAAUUAAAUCAUCUUGUUCCAUCAUUUUUGCUUAGACAAUGAUCAAGUGAUUAUCCUUAUAAGCUUUCAUCAAGGAACUCUCUGUCAUUCCUUGAUUGUGGUACCUACAAAGAAAAUAUUCAAGUUGUGCUCUUUGGUACCCAAAUACUAUUGGGUCCUUGAGUGUUAGCAAUGGUUCCUUUUGGAACCCAAACACAUUUUACUCCAUAAUAUACUUUUCUUUUAAUAGGACAACCAAACUUCAUGUGACCGUUUUGAUUACAAUAAUGACAUACAAUCUUAUGAUCACUUGUGGAGGUAGCCUUAACAAAAUAAUUCUUAUAAUAUUUUUGUUUCAAGUAAGGCUAAUACCCAAGUCCUCCUUUAUCAAACACACAUUUUUGAGUGCUUAGUAAUUUUUCUAAGUUCUUUUGACCACUUGUGAAUUUUAACACAAUUUCGUUGAGCUCAUUACUCUUUUUCUUAAGCACUUCAUUUUCUUUCAUCAAUUCAUCAACAUGUGAUUUUUCAUGCUCAUAUGAAAUACUUUGUUUACCUUUAAAUGAUGCAAUUCUAUUAUGCAAUAUUUUAUUAUCUAGCUCUAGUCCUUUAAUUUUUUCAUUUAAUGAAUCAUUGAAUUUUUGUAAAGCAUCCUUUUCAUUUUUCAAGUCAUCUACAUAUGAUUCUAGAUGCUCAUGUGAAGUGCUAGGUUUCUCAUUUGAUAAUGCAACUCUAUCAUGCAAUGUUUUAUUCUCUAAUUCUAAGUAUGUAAUCUUUGCACUUAGAGAUUCAUUUUCAUUUGUGAGUUUUACCAUUUUUUUUUAAGACAUGCAUUCUUUUGACCAAUACUUAUCCAAUUAUCAUGUUAUUUUUUAAAAGCAUCAUAUAAUUCAUCAUAAGUAGAAAGAUCAUUUACCUCAUCAAGUUCUUCAUCCGAUUCAUCUCUAAUUGUCAUGAGAGCUAGAUUUGUCAUUUCUUGAUGCUCUUCAUCAUCACUUGUUUCCUCAUCGCUAUCAUCCCAUGUGGCUACCAUUGCUCUCUUCUUAAACUUGUUGAGAAGAGGGCAUUCCGUUCUUAUAUGAUCAGGCUUCUUGCACUCAUAACAUUUGAUUACUUCAUUUUUCUCCUUUCAGUUCUUGAGUCUCUAAAUUUUCUUCUCUCACCAGAUUUCUUAAAAAGUUUUCUAAACCGCCUAGCCAGCAUAUCCAUCUCCUCUUCAUCCAGCUCGCUUUCCUCAUCACUUUUAUGUUUCGAGCCUUUGAUAGCAAUGUUUUUCUUCUUCUCCUCAUUGCCUCUUUCGGCUGCCAAGUCUUCCUCAUAAAAAAUAAGAGAACUAAUUAAAUCAUCAAUAGGUAAAAUAUUUAAAUCUUUGGCUUCCUCAAUGGCAGUCAUUUUUUGUCUCCAUUCCUUAGGUAGCGACUGAAUGAUUUUCUUAACUUUCUCGCUAUUUGAAAAGGUAUUUCCUAGGGCUUCUAGAGUGCUCACUAUGUCCGUAAAUCUAGUAUAUAUAGAAUACACAUUCUCAUUUUGUUCCAUUUGAAACAAUUCAUAUUGUCGAGUGUACCUACUAAUUUUAGACUCUUUCACUUGAUUCGUGCUUUCAUAAACAACUUCAAGUUUGUGCCAAAUUUCAUUAGCACUUUCACAACUAGAUACUCUAUGAAACUCUUUCUUAUCUAGUGCACAAAACAAGGCAUUCAUAACUUUGGAAUUUAGAGAAGCUCUUCUCUUUUUCAAUUCAUCCAAUUCCCGUGAGGGUUUUGGAAUAUCUUCCCCGACUUCGUUUUUAGUCAAAGGCAUAAAUGGAUCAUCACAAACAAUUUCUCAAAUUUCAUAAUUUAAAGCUUGUAAAUAAAUUCUCAUCCUAGUUUUCCAAUAUGGGUAGUCAUUACCAUCAAAGAAUGGUGGUCUAAUUAUGGAUUGUCCUUCCCUAAAGGUUGAGUCAUUAUGGGUUCCCAUAGAUUUUUAACUCUAGACGGUUAACUCUACACAAGAGCACCUUACUCUGAUACCAAAUGAAAUGCUAGUUAUACAACCCAAGAGGGGGUGAAUUGAGAUAUUAAAAAUUAUUUAAUUUUAAAACAAAACUCAAUGCAAAUCGAAGACGAAUUUAAAGCAAUAACAAAUAAAUCAAUCAAGCACAAUAAAACAAUUAAGGGAAGAGAAAAAAAAACACAAUAAUUUUUACGUGGUUCGGCAAUCCCCGCCUACGUCCACGCCUCCAAGCUCACCGGGCUUGAGGAUUUCACUAAGCAAGCCUCCAAGGUUUCAAAUGCUUACAAUUGACUUCCAAGGUGUUAAUGGAACUUCACAACAAGAGAUUAUCCCCAAUCUUUUAACCCAAGUGUAUCUCAACACUUGCAAUCUUUUGACUUGAUUUUACAAAAAUGAUUACAAAUGAAUUUCUCCCACACAAUGUGUUUGAUCACAAAUGAAAGCUCAAUGUGUGAAUGAAUGAGAUGAAUACAAAGAUUUAAAGCUCAAAGAAAGUUGUAUUCUCAAUAUUUUGCUCAAUGAUGAUCGUUGGGAUUGUUUUUUGUUUGAAUUGGAUUGAGCUUAUUUAUAAUUGGAACUGAAAAACUAGCCUUUAUUAACUGUCUGCCCGUAAAUGGAUCGCCGUUAAUUGUAAACGGUUAACCGUUUAUUCUAGUCAAAGUUAUCGUUGAGCUGAAUUUCAAAUAAACGGUUGACCGUUUGUCACUUUCGGUUCACCGUUGAUUUCCAGAGACCUACAAAAUAAAUUUGGCUUAACCGUUCUCACUAAAUGGUUCAAGGUUAGCAAUCUGGAAAUAAUCGGUUCACCGUUUUCAGUAAACGGUUCACCGUUAUUUUCCAGAAUCAUCAUUUUAACAAUACUUUGCAGAAUAUGCUUUCUGGAAAUUAUCGGUUAGCCGUUUUCAAUAAACAUUUAGCCGUUUGCUACAGUGAUUGUAUUUUCUAAAAUUAUGUUUUACCCAAAACUAUCUAUAAUUAUACUAUGGCCCAAAUUGUCAUAAAACUUUACAAAUAAGUCCAUUUCCAGAGUUUCAAAACUUUUUCAAUUUAGACCAUUAAUUGAAAACAACCAAUUUCAUAAAAUCAUUUUUCCAUUAAGUAUAAAGCCUUUAUAUUAUGAAAAUAAUGAUUUAUUUAAAAAUAAUUUUAGUUUUUAAAAACUUAAUCAUUCUUAAUCUUGUUUGUUAUCAUCAAAAUUAACAUUAUGGAUACAUAUAUGCUAACAUCUCGAUCUUGAACUCAAACUGAUGCCUAAUUGCCUGAAUCUCUGCUUCCUUCUACUACCAGCGGGCUAGCCUUAGUUAUAUUCAAAAAGGAAAAGGCGCUACUAUACAAUACAUUAGUAGGGUAGGCUUUGCUAACUCAGCCGCUUACUUCUACUAAUGGAGAACACCUCUUCUCGGGCUUUUGGCUUUAGUUUACAAACCUACCUGUCUUUCUUUUCUUCCUUGACAUUCAUGAGUAAGAUCUUAUGGUAGAUUGCCCUCCUGGGAGGCACUUGGCAACUCACUCGUGCAGGGAGGGAAAGGGCUUCUCUUUCUAUAGGAAUAUAGACCUGUCUUAUUUCCACUCUUUUCCUUUAAGUGAUCUUAUUUCGGGGAUUAAUCGGUUUGCGCCACAAAGACGAUUGUAGAAAGAUAUCAGGAUUAUACUCAAAAGACUUGCUUUUGUUGUUCCUAUUCCUUAUCAUAUUACCUAUUAUCUUUUUUAGGAGUGUCGAUUGAGAAUACUCCUACUCAUCUUCCAACUCCUUUAAUCCCGCAGCACUUUUAUAUGGAGAAGAAAGAUAGGCUUACCAUGUUACAUCAAUAGCACCUAACCUAUGCCGAUUUUGGUGGACCAUGCUCAACCCCGGUGAACUCAUGCGGUUCCGCUUGGGGCGGGCUCAACUAUCUCACUUGAAGAAAGAUAGACUAGAGAAUAUAAAUAGAAGAUAAUCAUGGUACAAUCUAUCAUAAGAAAACGCAAGUUUCCGGCCCUUCCUACGAUGAUUGUUUAAGUCGCAGUACAAGAUGAGUUCCCGUUUGAAAAAUCCUUUAUCUAUUAGGUACGUUGCCUUCGAGCCUUCAAAGAGGAACCAUCACUAUCUUUUUGUUAGGAAUUUUGUCUAUUUUAUUCUUUCUUUGGGAUUCAACGGCAAAAAAUUCGACGUGAGAAGGGGCUAUAUGGGAUAUCUAUCUACGGGGGCCUGCACUUUAUUAUAGGGAAAAGGGGGAAAGAUGAACUUCAUUCGGUAGCAGCAUUCUUGAAGACUUUCCCCGCUCUAGAACAAUAGUAAGUAGUCAGUAUAGUCAGUAGUUGGCCUUAAGCCUAGCUGUGUUACGGAAUCGUGAGGCUUAGACAUGCAUCCGUUAUACUGUACGGGAUGUUGAUAUGCGAAGCUUGUCUAUGACUCUGGGGACAUCGUGGUGCCACCAUAGGCCACGUUGUGCUAUCGUGAGCAUGAGCUUGGAUUCCGCUAUGCUUGUGACGAUAAUAGCUAUAAGGUCGUGUUUGGUUUUAAGAAAGGGGAGGAGAUGAAAAGAGUGGAAUGGAGGGGAAAGGAGAAGAGAGGAGUGGAAGAGAAUAGUGAAAUUAAAUUUCAUUAUUUGGUUUGACAUAAAAUUUAAUAGGGAAAGGAAUUGUAAUUUUUUUUUGGACAAAUUUAUCAUUUGCCUUAAAUAUUAAAUUAUCUAUAUUAAUAAUAAAAUAUAAUUUAAUAUUAAUACCAAACUUUUUUUAUUUCAAAAAGUUCUAAAACAAAUCAUGAUUUAUAUUUAAUAUAAAAUAUAAAAUAAUUUAAUAUCUUAAACUAUUUAAUAUAAUAUAAUAUUAAAUAUAAUUUAAUAUAAAUAAAAGCCAGUCAAUAUAAGUCAACGUCGGUCAACAUAAGUCAGCACCGGUCAACGCCGGCCGGCUAUUUUCCGAUAGAAGUCUAGCGAGUUCCGGCGGAGAUCCGGUGUGCCGACGGUGGUCUGGUUAAAAUCCGGCGAAGUUCCGACGGAAAUCCGGUGAAGGUCCGGCGAUAGUUAAUUUAUAUUUAUAUAUUUUCAUAUUAAAUAAAUAAAUAAGUUUAUUUAUUUUAUUAAAUUUUAUUAAAUUUUUUAAAUCAUUCAUUAAAUUUGAUAUUAUAAAAUUAUUUAUAAUAUUAAAUUGAUAAAAUAAAAUUAUAAAUAAUUAUUAUUAUUAAUAACAUUAAACAAGUUGAAAUGUUGAAGGGCAAUUUUGAAAACUUGUGUUUUCAACAUAAGAGGAAUUUAAAUUCUUCACUUUUUGGUGUGGAAUUUAAAUUCUACAUUAUAAGGGAUAUUAAAUUUUAAUGGAAAUUAAAUGCUUAUAUAUUUUGUGCAACCAAACAAUGAAAAUAAAAGUAGAAUUUAAAUUACUUUCCUCUCCUCCAUUCUCUACCCCCAACCAAACAUCACGUAUACCAAAUAACCCCUUUUUUGUAAAUCCUAUGAUGCAAUUGGAGCUUAUCGGCAGAAAAGAAUCAAUUUAGAGCAGUCUUUCUAUCCUUUUUUUGGGGUUGCAUGCCUAAGGCAAUGUUUUUCGUUUUUGUAGAUUGAGAUGGAUUGAUCUUCGCUAUCGUGCCUCUUCCUUGUACCAGUGGAUGCUGCGGCAGUGCCUAAUAAGCAUGUAGUAAAUGACUCUUGUUUCCUCGUCAAGGUGUAAUAAAGAUUCAGUCCAUAAGGGUUGCAUUCUAUAUAUGCUUUCCAAAUUGUUGGGUCGUUGCCUCAAAGAAUUGUUCCUCCGGUGUGAAACCAGUUGGUUCCGUUAUAAAAUGUGGUGCGGGUUCAUCUCUCUCCACCAGUUCAGGUUCGUUCAAGGGAAGGGUGCUCGACGGGACCCAGACUUGAAAUCUCUUAAAGAAAGAAAGCUUCCGAUUCACUUAGAAAACACUGAUCCCUCACCUUGAUACUAAAUCGGAUCGAGCCCGGGAUCUUCUUGAAAAUGGGAAGAUCUAGGAUAGGCGGUUCUUUAUCUUUAAGUUCAUUCACUACAGGUUCUCUUACUUGCUCUAGUGGCUGACAAACGCCAACCGGGAGGGGAGGCUCAGGAAUCGACAGGUAAGAUAGAUAGUUGACCUUUUGAGGUAAGGAAUUGGCCUGUUCAGGUUAAAUCAUCCAUGAACCCAAAGUAGCACAUGCAAUUGGAUCACGCUAGCUCAAUAUUGGUGUGCUUGAAAUUUGCAUGCAAGGAAUUUGUCUUCAAAUUUACCUCUCAAUAUUGGUGUGCUUGAAAUUUGCAUGCAAGGAAUUUCUCUUCAAAUUUACCUCUCAAUAGAGGUGUGCUUGAAAUUUGCAUGCAAGGAAUUUGUCUUCAAAUUUACCUCUUCAAAGUUGAAUGCAUGCAUGUAUUUGAAUUUCAAUUUUAAAUUUUUCAACAGAUGGCGUGUAAGGAUCGCCUUAAGCUUGCGGUCCAAAAUCCGGUGAAAUAUCCGCCUUUUCCAUGAGCAACUAUUGACAAAUCAUGAAUGAAUUGCGGAUCGACCAUUCAUAAUGGCCAAAGACCUUUCAACUUCUUCAAUGAUCCCCAACCUCACCAUUUGGCAUUUAAUUGCAUGAACAAAAUUGUCAAAGAAUUUUGCUAUUUCAUUAUCACGCUUUUACCGAGCAAUUAUUUUGCCCUAUUUUCUUUAAUGUUUUCCCACAUUCAAGUCAAAUUUUCAACAUGUAGAAAAUUUAGCACUUGUUAGUCGAGUUAGACUUCUUUUUAUCGCGGUUUAAGAGAAUUCAAAUAUUUUAAUAAUAAAUUUAGCUAUUGAAAAUUAUAUUUAAAUAAAUUUUUUUAGGGAACAAUAAUGGAAUUAAAAUUUAUGUGGUUAACAAUAUUGAUUAUUGAUGAAAAUUAAAAAAUAAUGGUUUAAGUGAAACAACUUUUUCAAGAAAACAAAUUUACCAGAUUCCAUGUGUAUAAAUUUGUUGAAACAAAUAGUGAAAAUAUAUAAGAUUUUCUUAUUUCCCCAAGCCUUUUGGUUUUCAAGCAUCUAUAUUUGGCUAGUCACCCGAAUGUAAAUCUUGAGGGAGAUAGAAGUGUUAUAAUAAGCUCACAUUAUUUUCAAAAAAUAGAGAUAAACAAAGAGAUUGGGCAAUUAAUCAAUUAAUUCUUAUGUAUUUUUUUCACUUAUGUUUGUUUAACCAUAUUUGCUAUUAAGGUUGGUUUAAGACAAAUUUUAUUUCAAUGUUUUACCCAAGAUACAUAAAAUGACCAAAUUAUCCAAAGAUAAUGUGAUAAUGUUCCUAUAUCUAACAAUCUAGGUAUUUAGUUUUGUGACUUACAACAUGACAUCCAAUAAAUUACAUGAGUCUUGUGCAUAAAAAUAUUUUGUUAGUUUAACUAAAUCUCAAUAAUCAUUCUAAUAAAUUCGUUUUGAUACAUUUUUUAGAAAUUAUAAAUUUUGUAUAAAAUUCAAAAUUUCUGAACUUAAAGUAAAUUUUUUGGUAUUUUUGGUACUUUUACCUUAUAAGAGUAAAUAAUCAAUUUAAAAUUAUGACAAAGCAAUCGUUUUAGUCAAAUAUGAUAAAAAAAAAUUAAAGUCACAAAACAAUUCAAGGUAGAUUUAAUUAAUUACUUCUCAAACUUCUUCUUUAUUUGAAUUUUCUUUAAAAAUAAUGUGAAUUUAUUAUAAUUAUUUUCUUGAAGUGGGGUGGGUUUACAAAAAUUGUGGUAUGAAAAUAUCAGCACUGUAAAUGAAAAAAAAGAGAGAAAAAAAUGGUCACAUUUUGUCAUUUAGCAAAAUGAUUAUAUAGAUACUUUUUGAAUAAUUACACCUAGAUAAAAAUAAUUUGAUCACUACAAUAAAAGACAUAGUUGUCGUAAGAAGAGACGAUGUCACUAUUUUUUAAAAACAAAAUAUAUAUAUUUAUAAAAAUUGUACAAAACCACGUAAGUGCUUUAAUUUCCCCUUAAAACAAUUAAAACAAAUCAAUUGAAAGAUUCGGAUCCCUUUUUUUCUUUUUUUCAAUAGUACAAAUGGAAGAAAAAUAUAUCUACAAAGCUCACAAAAGACCCGUCAUCCUUUUAUCAAUCAACCAUUGUAUUAUAUAUUCAUGUGAGAAUCUGAAUACUCACAAAAAUCGCUCGUGCAUAUAGCAAUAGUCACCAUUCAUUUCGCAUAGAAAAACGUCGUCAUUUUGUUUAUAAACCAAAAACUUAUUAUCACUUAUUUGUCGCCAGCCUAAAGAGUAGUUUUCAAAUAGUAUUAUUUGGUUGGUUCCGAGUUUGAUCCUAAAACUAAAGGAAAUAAGGAAUUAAUUUGAACUUUGUCUACUAUUCUAUCAUUUAAAGAAAAAUAAAUAAAAUAUAUAUUAUCACAAAUUUAAAUUAUCCAUUUAUAAGGAGAAACAUAAGAAUCAUGACUGAUUUUGUCAAUUUAUGUGUAAACAGUCAAAGACGCCGAGAUAAAAAUUACUAAGUAAAAAAUUAUAAAUUUAUCAACACUAAAAGAUGUUAUCAAUUUAUCUCACUCAGAAAUAAGGAGACAAUUUUCGGAUUUUAAACGGCUGAAAUAGCUCCAUUGAUUUUAACAUCUAUAGCGUACAACAUUAUUGCACGGAAACACCACAAAUUGAGUCCCCCACAUGAACUGUCGAGUCUCACAUUUUCAACAAAAAUCAUAAACAUCCAAACACACGGAAUUAAUUAAAUAAAAAGAUAAUUAUUUUAUUAAAUAUGAUUUUAUCUUUAAUCUCAUAUAAACAAAUUAGCUAAACAUACUUAAAUAAGAGCAACAAAACAAAUAAAACCAGUCAUGAGAAUUAAAUUACUACUGCUGCCACUAUUCUUCUUCUCCUUUUCUGCCUUGCGUCUGCCUUUUUUCUUCCUCUUUGGCGGCUCCCUCUCCUCUUCGUCCAAAAGCCAAAACCUUACUUAUAGAAUCUUCAAAAUAGGCCCCACGUUUUCAAUUCUAAAGCCAAAAGGCUUUGGCCUUUUAUUUGUUUUGCUCUCACCACUUGGUAUUUAAUUGCAUGAACAAAAUUGUCAAAGAAUUUUGCUAUUUCAUUGUCACUCUUUUGCGGAGCAAUUAUUUGGAUUAAUAUCCUUAAUCUGAACACUCUUGAUCUUUUAUAGAUCUUAUAUCACCUGUAUUUUAGUAUUAGUGUAGGAUUAAGAUUUAAUUUUUUUUAAUUUAUUAACCACCAAUUGUUUUAAUAGAAUUUGCUCAUAUCAAGACCAGAUCAAGAGAGAAUUAUGAUUCCAAUUAUUUUAUCCUAUUUUCUUUAAUGUUUUCCCACAUUCAAGUCAAAUUUUCAACAUGUAGAAAAUUUAGCACUUGUUGGUCGGGUUAGACUUCUUUUUAUCGCGGUUGAAAAAAUUCAAAUAUUUUAAUAAUAAAUUUAGCUAUUGAAAUUUAUAAUUAAAUAAUUUUUUUUCAGGGAACAAUAAUGGCAAUAAAAUUUAUGUGGUUAAGAAUAUUGAUUAUUCAUGAAAAUUAAAAAAUAAUAGUUUAGGUGAAGCAAAUUUUCAAGAAAACAAAUUUACCAGAUUCUGUGUGUAUAACAUUUUCAACACUAAAAAUGUGAGCUCCUGAUAUCAUAUAUAAAUAUGUAAAAAGGGAAGGGAGGAUGAAAGAUAAAUUGAAGUGAAAGGAAGAAAUGGAAGGUGAGAACACAAAACCAAAGAUACUUAUCUUUGGGGGUACUGGAUACUUCGGUAAGUAUAUGGUGAAAGCAAGUGUUUCUUCUGGUCACAAAACUUUUGUUUAUGCUCGACCUGUUACACAAAAUUCAAGACCCUCCAAGCUUGAAAUCCACAAGGAAUUUCAGGGUAUUGGCGUCACCAUUAUUGAGGUUACUUCAUUACUCAAUUAUCUCGAUCUCUUUGGUUUUGUUUCUUCUUUUUUUUUUCUUCUUUUUUUCCCCCUUUAAAUGCACGCGCGAAAUUCGAACCUCAGCCCUCUUAUACUUCUUUUUAUGAGAUUAAUUUUGUGUUGAUCUAAUUGGAGCCCUUCGAUAUUAUUUGUAAUAAUACUGUUGAAAUUAAAACAGGAGAGCUGGACGAGCACGAGAAAAUUGUAUCUAUACUUAAGGAAGUAGAUGUGGUGAUAUCUACUGUAGCUUAUCCUCAGUUUCUUGAUCAACUGAAAAAUUGUUCGUGCCAUCAAAGUUGCUGGUAACAUCAAGGUAUUUGAUUGAGCUCUUUCUUUUUUAAAAAAAAACAAAUCGUUGUUUUUUUUUUUUUUUGGGGAGAAAUUGAAAAUAUAGUUUGUUGCUAAUUGAAAAAUAUUAGAAACUUUUAAGUGUAGACGUUUGCAUUUUGUAAAUGUAGAUUUAAACUAGGCAAUAGUAGUUAGUUAUAAAAGACAUAAAAAUAUAUACGAGAGCUACUUAAUUAGCAAAAUACCUAAAAUCCCAAACUUUAAUUUCGUAUUUGUGUCUUCGUAACAUUUUAGUGUCUUUUUACAAAUCAGUGCUGCAUUGCUUCAAAUUUGUUUAUAUAGAACAAAUCUUAAAACACACUAUGUUUUGGUUGCUAGAGGUUUCUUCCAUCUGAGUUUGGAUGUGAAGAGGACAGGGUGAGGCCUCUGUCCCCUUUUGAAGCUUACUUGGAGAAAAAAAGAAUAGUAAGAAGGGCAAUAGAAGCAGCUAAAAUUCCCUACACCUUUGUCUCAGCAAAUCUCUAUGGUGCUUACUUUGUGAAUGUCUUGCUUCGUCCAUCUGAAUCAUAUGAUGAUGUUGUUGUUUAUGGAAGUGGUGAAGCAAAAGGUACGUUUGCUUCCCAACGCAGAAGUCCACACAUAUUAAAAUACAAUUUACACUAAAAGUUCAUUUGUUGAAUAUUUUUUUUGAUGUUAUAUCAUCUAUUAUCUAUUUCAGCUGUCUUUAAUUACGAGAAAGAUAUAGCUAAAUGUACAAUCAAAGUGAUAAAUGAUCCAAGGACAUGCAAUCGAAUUGUGAUUUAUCGACCGCAAACAAACAUUUUUAUCACAGCUUGAAUUGAUCUCCCUUUGGGAACAGAAGACUGGACGGAGUUUUAAAAGAAUUCAGGUUUCUGAGGAAGAGCUAGUAAAGCUAUCUCAGAGUAAGAAUUUUGAUUUUUUAUUUAAUUUUUUGUUUAAUAAAAUUAUUCACUUUUAUAUAAAGUCAUAAAAGAUAAAAUCAAUGCAAGCAGAAGCGGAACCGGAAUGAUGUUCCAUUCUAUGGGCCCAAAGUGAAAAUCUAGUGGGGUCAAUACGUAAAUUUUUUUUUUGGUUAAAUUUCAAAGCAGGCGCUCAUCUUUUAUAAAUUUUUGCCAUAACCUAAUAUGUUUCUCGUGUAUGAUAUUUAUCACUCAUUUGACUGUUGAUUGUUUGAAGUUAGUAUCUAACUAAGCGUACAAUACCCCACAAUCCGAGUAUUAUUAGAUAACUAGAAAAUAGAACUGCGCUUCACGCGGCUUUGAAAAAAGAAUUUAGUAUUAUCAUUUUUUCUUACUUUACACUUGAUGAAACUGAUAAAAAAUAUGAAUUGAUUUUUUUUUAAGAUGAGGCAGCCUUAUAAAAAAUAAAAAAAACUAUUAGCCAGCAAUACAAAUAAAGAAGCAACGCAAUAUAAAGAAUAAAAUGAGAGAAUAUAUUAUAGAAUGAUUUUAUCCAUUCCAAUUGUGUGUGUACAAAACAAAAAGAUGAGUUCUCAUUUUAUAGUUACAUAAUCACUCCAUGAAAUAAAUGAAAAAUUAUGGAUCAUAAUUCAUUGUGAGAUAGUUGGAGUUAUAGGGAAGCUAAAGGUUGCUAAUGGGAGAUAGGUGGGAGACUAAGAGAUAUAUGUUAUGAACAUCUACAUUUAUUUUAAUAAAUUCAUAACACUCCCCCUUGAAUGUUUAUUACAAAAAAUAUGCUUCAUUAAAACCUUUACAUAAUUAUUAUUGUGUAAUAACAAUCAAAUUAAUUGUGAGAAGAUGAAAAGCUAAAUCUAAAAGAAAAUUUCUCUAUUUGUUAGAUAAUAGAGAAUAUACAAAGAUGAGAAAUGGUAAUGUUCAAUCACCUCCUCAAGUCCCAACUUUAUAUAUAUAUAGAUUAAAAAGUUUAAGAAAGUCAAUAAAAUAAAAACUAUCUAAUUGGUGCCAGAUUGGGUAUGGUGUACAUAGGAUAAUUUUUCUUGUUAAAUGAAGUCAAUUAAUAAAGUAUUUCUCAAACCUAAAAGUACUUAUUUAAUGUUAGGGUGAUGUAACAGCUUUUAUUUUAGAUUUUUUUAAAUUGAAAAAUUUUUAAUUAACUCAUUCUAAGAAAAAUUCAUAUAUUCACCUGUAACAUUUAAGAAAAAUAAAAUAUUUCCACCCCUAACUAUAAGAUUUCAUAGGCUUCGAUCUCUUUAACAUCUCAUUCAUUUUUACACUUAAUUGAUAUUGUUUAUUACAACCUAUUAAUUUUUCAAUUGUUGCAGCCUUACCACCUCCAGAAGACAUACCAAUAUCCAUCAUGCACAGCCUAUUUGCAAAGGGUGACUCGAUGAACUUUGAACUUGGAGAGGAUGACAUUGAAGCUUCAAAGCUGUAUCCAGAUUUUAAAUUCACCACAAUCGAUCAACUUCUUGACAUUUUUCUCAUUGACCCCCCAAAACCUGCACGUACGGCUUUUGAAUAAGAAGCUUAAUUUAUGUAAUUUUCAACUUUAAAUUGUCUCUGAAACUAGUUCUAUCCUUGUUUUGUGUCAAUAAAUCGAAAGACGGAAUAACAGAAUAUGCAUGGAACUCCAUGCCNNNNNNNNNNNNNNNNNNNNNNNNNNNNNNNNNNNNNNNNNNNNNNNNNNNNNNNNNNNNNNNNNNNNNNNNNNNNNNNNNNNNNNNNNNNNNNNNNNNNNNNNNNNNNNNNNNNNNNNNNNNNNNNNNNNNNNNNNNNNNNNNNNNNNNNNNNNNNNNNNNNNNNNNNNNNNNNNNNNNNNNNNNNNNNNNNNNNNNNNNNNNNNNNNNNNNNNNNNNNNNNNNNNNNNNNNNNNNNNNNNNNNNNNNNNAUUUAUGCUGCCAACUUCAGAUUCUAUCUUUAUUUCACAAAAUAGGCAGGGGAAAAGCAGACAAAUCCUAUGAUAAAAUUGGAGAAAACAAUAGAAUCACUUUCAAAUGGUCAGCAAGAAGUGAACAACCAUAUGAUAAAAUUGUUUAGUAAACUUAGCGCUAGAAUGGAUUCAAUAUGAUGGUAGUUUCGAAAGUAAAAGUUAAAUAAUCCAUCUAGCAUUCAACAUUAAAUGUUAAGUUAUUCUUUUUCACACUUAAUUUUAUUCAAACUUAUUUGAUAAAUUUUCGGUGUUAAUUUAAAAACAAACAAAUUGAAAAUAGCUGGAUUUAGUUUCAAUAUUAAGUGAAAAAACAAACAACACCGAACCCUUGAUUCUGGCAUUUUCCUUGUAUGAAGUUAUUUAAUCAAAUAAAAAAUUGUUUUCUUAUUGGAAUUGCGCAUCGGUGUUUGUCUCAUACCAUUUAUAUUCAUAUCAUAUUUUUCUUCUUUUAAUCUCUUUUUAAAUUUUAUUGUAUUCGUAAAAUUUUCUUUACACAGAAAACAGAAAAUUUUACUAAUAAAGGGUUCAUCUCACUUAGCGCCCUAUUUGUUACGCAAGUAGUUUCAAUAUUAUUUUGUUAAUGAGUUUGAAAGCAUUCAAAUUCAAUUGUUUCCAUUUUUUUAGUUCAUUUUAUAAAAUGCAUUGAUGAAAUUUGAGAUCAUUUUAGUAAUUGGGGUUCAUUGGACAUAAGGUCGUACUUUUGAUAAAAGCACGGAAAUUUUUUUUUUUUUUUUAAAGUGACCAAAUUAAAUAUGGAUAAUUGCAUUAAAGCCUUAUUUAGGGGUGUCAAAUAUAUCCCGCACAACCAGACUUGGACAGAACUUACGCGAUGUGGGCCAAGUAAUAUCUAGUCAAGGGAUGAGGUUAGGCCGUAGCUCCGGGCAUCACUUGAUAAACUAGGGGUAGUGUCCAAAAUUCUAAUUUUGUUAAGAAAAUUAUAAAAAAAUAUAUUAUUUUAAAAAUAAUUUAUUCGGCCAAUCUAUUACAUACGUUAAAAUUUUUGAACAUUUAAAUUCAUAUUUUCAUGCCUAAUUUCAUUGAAAAAAAUUUAAAAAAAAAAAUAUAUAAAUCUAAACAUAUACAUACUUAAUAUUAUAAAAUAUAAAAUCCAAGGCUUUUGAAGCUCGAACAAAAUGCCUAGCCUAGGUGUUCAAAAAACAUGUCCGUGUCCGAGCUGGGAUUUGCCAUUCCUGGGCCCAACCCCAGGUUUUGUCAUCUCUGGCCUUACUGUAUAUAUAAUUCCAUGAAAUCUGAUUCAUCAUCUAUUGGUCAUAGUUUCUUGUCAAAUUUAUUUCAAUUUUAAACAAUAUCAGAUAUAAAUACCAUUUCACCCUUGAAAAAUUAAAUCUAAUUGCAACAAAAAUAACAACAUGAGAGAACAAAAACUAAUUGAGUAAUUGGUUUAAUCUAUAGGGAUUGAAAGAACAUUUACCUUAUUUAUUAUUUAUAACUAUUUAUUUAGAUCAUUGCAAAGUGCUAACAAAUAAAGAAAAAAAAUUGAUCAUUACACUUACAGUAAUACUAGACAUUCUUUAUUGUAUCCUUCUUUGCUCUAAAUGAUUUGGGACAAUCAAUAAAUUGGAAACUACAUAUUAAUCUUAUGCUUUCAAACUCAUAAAAGAAAAUAAGAUUGAAGCUACUUGUGCAAUAAGUUCUCGAGCCUUAGUCGAGAGAUUUUUAAACAGUUUUAUUUUAUUGGAAUUUAUAUCCUAAAGAGAAUGAUUAAAAAAAAUUGAUUUAAUCUUUAACCAUGCAUUUGGUUAUUUACUUUUUUUCCCUGCUUGUAUAACAAAUACGCCAUAAGCUACAUGAGUCCUUUAUAAGUAAAAUAAUACCAAAAUAGAAAAGAAUUAAAUACACCCACUAUUAACUUACGGGUCUUGUUAUCUUACAAUAUAAAAUGUAACAAACAUUAAAGAAAUUGACAAACAAAUCAACAACAUUACACCACGUGUAACUGUUAGAAUUCUAAUUUUAUCGAUUGAAGCGGUUUGUAGCCGGUUGAAAAAAGUUGGUCGAAAGAGGAAUAAUUUCUACUAUAGCCUGUGCAACCCAAAGCGACAUGAUUUCUUUGAACUCGCAGGCUGAGGAAACUUCCUACUUGCGCAUAUCCGCCCGUUCUGAGCAAGAAAACGAACAGCUUUAGCCAACUCCCAUAUACACUCAUUUGGUGGCUUUUCUCUCCCCUCAAGACAUGUGUGCUCCUCUCAUUGGGUGUGUAUGUUACAGAUUCUUUUUUUUUUUUGAAAGGAAAGAAACUUCAUUACUGUAAAGAACACAUGACUUGUGCUGGUAUAUUUCCCAGCCAUACAACAGAUUCUGAACCUUUUACAGCUAACUUAGCUAAGGUAUGGGCAUUUGCAUUACCAGACCUAAGGGUGUGUUAAAAUCUGACUUCCUGGAACUCUUUUCGACUCUCAUUGAUUUCUGAUAUCACCCAAAAAACCUCAGUUUUGCUGCCCUUUCUGUUGUGUGCCAAAUCAAUGGCUGCUUGACAAUCUGAUUCCAAAAUGACUGCAGUGAUUCCUGCCCUUUUUGCCACUUGCAUUCCCCAUUCAAUUGCUUCAGCUUCUGCAAAAGGCACAUCUCCGUUGAAACUUGAGGGCUUAAUGGCUGCAGCAAACACAUCUCCCUUAUCAUUCCUUAUCACCACUCCCAACCCAGCUCUUUGACUUUGAUGGUCAAUUGCAGCAUCCACAUUUACUUUGCACCAGUUUCCGGGCGGGGGUUUCCAUUGCUUAGGUUUCUCCAUGUUUGAGAUUUCCAACUGCUGUUGCUCAGUCCUUUUGAAUUUUCUAUAGGCUUCUACUACACCUUCAGCUUUGGCAACUGAAAAUAAAGCAUCCAGCUUUUCCUUUUUGAAGAGGAAAUGGUUUCUCGCGUUCCACGUAGCCCACCAAUAUGCAAACUGCAGCUCUGUCUCUUUUUUGUUUAGGAGCCUUGUUGUAUCAAGAAAUAUAUCAAACAUAUUCCUCCCAUGAGAGGCUGUGAUCUCCUCAGCUGCAUGGUGAGAAAGCUGCCUAAUCUUCCUUGCUGCUUUGCAUUCAACCAUUGCAUGAACACUAGUUUCCACGCCUCGCUUGCAUCUUUGACAUAUUGGGUCUGGCACCACCUUCCUUUUCCACAAGUUUUCGGCUGUUGGCAACAAGUUUUUAACAGCCCUCCACAGAAAUAUCUUUAUCUUUUCCGGGAGGUCUAGCUUCCUAUGGCAUUCCAUUGUCUAGGGUCUGGAUUUGAGCUACUUGGGGCACUUGGAAAUUUUUUCUUUUAAAGCUAACUGGUAGCCACUUUUAACCGAAUAUUUCCCAAGCUUAUCAUAGUGCCAACACAACUCAUCCAAUGCUGUGUGCCUUGGCAGGGGAAUCCUUGAAAUGAUUUCUGCAUCUUCUUUAAUAAAAUGCUGCUGGAUCCAAUCCCUCUUCGACUCCCCUUCGGGGCUUAUCAGCUCUGCCACUUUAGUAUCAACAGCAAGGGUUCUUGGCAAUAUUGGCCUAAAAGUUGUUGGCCGCGGCAGCCAAUUGCUUCUGUAAACUUGGACAUUUUCCCCAGAACCGAUUCGCCAUCUUGAGCCUUUUUAGAAUUAUUUGUCUGCCCACAAGAUGCUUCUCCAUAUGAAGGAUGGGUUGGAACCUAACUUGGCGUUGAGAAAGUUCAUCGUUCUUGAAGUAUCUUGCUUUGAGAACUCUUGCCAUUAGAGAUUCCGGAUCUUGAAUAAUUCUCCAGCUUUGCUUUGCUACCAAGGCCUGAUUGAAACAUGACAUGUCUCUGAAACCCAAACCGCCUCUAAGCUUAGCAUGCUCAUCCUCUCCCAUCUAGCCAAUGAAUGCCGUGCUUCUCUUUGUUAGUUCCCCACCAGAAUUUGGCAAUUGCUUUCUGAAUUCCUUCACAUAAUGUCAAUGGAAGUUUAAAUACGCUCAUGGCGUAAGCCGGGACAGCCUGGGCUACCGCCUUUAUCAACACUUUUUUGCCUCCGCUUGAAAAAAAAUUUGUUUUGCCAAAUUGAGAUCUUACUCAAAACUUUUAGCUUUACCUCAUUAAAGAAGCUCAUUUUUUUUCUUCCAAUCAUGGAUGGUAAGCCUAAAUAUUUUUCGUAUUUAGACACCAUCUUCAAUUGGAAAAUGUUUUUGAUGGCUGUGAUAUGCUCUGCUGGGAAGCUUUCCACUACAAAACAUCGAAGAUUUUUCAUAGUUGAAAAUCUGUCCUGAGGCGGCUGCAUAGCAAUCGAAAAUUGCUUUUAAGUUUCGACAAUUUUCAAUGGAUGCUUUGGUGAAAACUAGGCUGUCAUCCGCGAACAAAAGAUGUGAGGACCGUUACUUGUUUAUUAAAUUUGAGACCAUGAAUCAGCUUCUCCCUUUCAGCCUGCAUAAGCAGAUUAGAAAAAGCUUCUGCACAUAAUAUAAACAAGUAAGGUGACAGAGGACACCCCUGCCGCAGCCCCCUUUGCCUCCGCUUGAAAAAAAUUUGUUUUGCCAAAUUGAGAUCUUACUCAAAACUUUUAGCUUUACCUCAUUAAAGAAGCUCAUUUUUUUUCUUCCAAUCAUGGAUGGUAAGCCUAAAUAUUUUUCGUAUUUAGACACCAUCUUCAAUUGGAAAAUGUUUUUGAUGGCUGUGAUAUGCUCUGCUGGAAGCUUUCCACUACAAAACAUCGAAGAUUUUUCAUAGUUGAAAAUCUGUCCUGAGGCGGCUGCAUAGCAAUCGAAAAUUGCUUUUAAGUUUCGACAAUUUUCAAUGGAUGCUUUGGUGAAAACUAGGCUGUCAUCCGCGAACAAAAGAUGUGAGACCGUUACUUGUUUAUUAAAUUUGAGACCAUGAAUCAGCUUCUCCCUUUCAGCCUGCAUAAGCAGAUUAGAAAAAGCUUCUGCACAUAAUAUAAACAAGUAAGGUGACAGAGGACACCCCUGCCGCAGCCCCCUUUGCCUCCGCUUGAAAAAAUUUGUUUUGCCAAUUUGAGAUCUUACUCAAAACUUUUAGCUUUACCUCAUUAAAGAAGCUCAUUUUUUUUCUUCCAAUCAUGGAUGGUAAGCCUAAAUAUUUUUCGUAUUUAGACACCAUCUUCAAUUGGAAAAUGUUUUUGAUGGCUGUGAUAUGCUCUGCUGGAAGCUUUCCACUACAAAACAUCGAAGAUUUUUCAUAGUUGAAAAUCUGUCCUGAGGCGGCUGCAUAGCAAUCGAAAAUUGCUUUUAAGUUUCGACAAUUUUCAAUGGAUGCUUUGGUGAAAACUAGGCUGUCAUCCGCGAACAAAAGAUGUGAGACCGUUACUUGUUUAUUAAAUUUGAGACCAUGAAUCAGCUUCUCCCUUUCAGCCUGCAUAAGCAGAUUAGAAAAAGCUUCUGCACAUAAUAUAAACAAGUAAGGUGACAGAGGACACCCUUGCCGCAGCCCCCUUUGAGGUUGAAUUAAAUUUGUGGCAGCCCAUUAAUGAUGAUUGACAAGGAUGUUGUCGUGAUACAAUUCAUGACUAAAUGAACCCAUUUUUCUGUGAAGCCUAAUCUCCUCAUAAUGUGCUCUAAAAAGCCCCAUUCUACCCUAUCGCUAAUAUCUAAUUUGAGAGAUACCAGCCCAUUUUUCCUCCCUUUACUGUGCCUUAUUUUGUGUAGGCAUUCGUACCCAAUAACAAUAUUGAAUUGUCUUUUGAUUAGAAACCGCCUUGUUUUGAAUUGUCUUUUGAUUAGAAAGGAAAUGAAAGCCUGAAUAGUGGCUUGGUCAUGAAAUGAAUGACAAAUAAAUGAAGCACGCUAUUUAUUUAUUGUUAUUUUUUCAGGCAUUAUGUAAUAUGGUGUAUAAUAAAAUUUGGAAAAAUUUUGUAAUUAAUAGAUAUAUUAUGAAGUACGUUUGUUUACCAUCAGCUUCUAAAAUUUUCAUGAAGUAGUUUUUAAGUAAUUUUCUUAGGCUGAUCAUACGAGUUCAAAUAUUUAAAAAGGUGGGAGGCAAAAAAAUUAAUUUAAAGUUUUUUCUCACCCUCUUAUCUUUUUUAAAACUUAUUUAAGUAAAAAAAAAAAUUGAUUGUUCACCAUCUGGUUUGAGCAAACAUAACAGCGAAUGGGACGCAAUUUAAACCCAAUUAUAAUCAUUACUGAACAACUAAGAUGGGCUGGACUUUGACUUGAUCCAAAAUAUCUAUCAAAAUUUAGAAACUGUUUCUUUCUCAUUCAGAUAUUCAGAUAGAUGGAAAAAGGAAAAAAUAAAAUAAAAUAAAACACAUUGAUGAAAGACUAUUAUAUCUUGGGAGCCUCUAUGUUACAUUGAAUGUACCAUAUAUAACCAAUAAGAACCACAUAAAUUAUGAGACCCACAUAAUUGUGUGGUUUUUAUUAAUUAUGUAUGGUACAUUUAAUGUAACAUAGCAAAAUCCUUAUAUCUUAUGCUGCUUUGAGAAACUCCAAUGUAUUUCAGAGUGAGAAACUUGUGUGGGGGCGGACGACCACGUUGGACCGGCCGUUUAGCAGGCCAUGGGACCCGCAAAUUAUAUGGGUCCCAUAUAAUUUCGUUUUCGGGUCCCGACUGGUCAGACGCACCCCCUUUAACAGUCUAAGCCACAGAAGUUCGCAGAUGCACCACCUGGCAGCCUAACCCACCCAAGUUCUCGGUCGAGUACGUAUCAACAGCAAAGAACUACAUACACAAAAGCUGUAUUAAUUUUGCUAAUUGUUUUCCAAUAGGACAAUCUAAUGAAUAAUGCCAUGAUUGAAUUUUGUCACUCAACUUUUAUAACUACAAUCAUCAUCGGUCUUAAGUUCAAAAUAAAUGCAACAACAUUCUACUAAAUAAGCAUUAAAAAUAAAUAGUAUGUCUACCCCAGCCAAGUCUUUUUCCUAAAGAAGAAAGGAAAUAUUUCAUUACAAAUAAAUUGGGAAUCCUAAAUUAUCCAGCAUUAUAUGUAUCCAUUCGCAGUUUUACUUCUUUAUUCCAAUCUUCAAGAAGGCUAAAAAUAUUAUAUAUCUGUGGUUCUACGAAGAAGCCAAAGGUUGUGAUCUAGCAGCCCCCUCAGGCUACGUUUGGCACGCAUGAUUAGAUUGAAUUGGAUUAAGUUGGAUUAUAUUAUAUUAUUAUAUAUUGUACUAUAUUUGGUACAACAUCGGAUUGGACAAUGUAAAAUCAUAUUUAAAUACAAAAAAUAUUUAUGAAUAUCUAAGAGUAAUAAUUAAAAUUAAUUUAAAAGUAAUUAACAAGAGCAUUAAAUAUGUAGUAAAUUAGUUAUUGGGUAAUCAUAAUUAUAAUAAAUAAAUAUAAAUUAAUAAAACUAUUUAAUUAUUUAAUUAAUAUUUAUUAGAUAUUUUAGAUAUAUUUUAUUUUAUCAAAAAGUUAGCAAAUAAUGUAUAUAUAAAAUCAAUUAUUUACUUGUAUUAUUAAUUUCCAUGAUUAUUUUUAAUAUUACAUUGGUGAUUAUUAAAUUUAAUACAAUCAAUUAUUGUAACAAAUUAUUAAAUAGUUAAUUUUAUUGGAGUAAAAGUACCAAUUUAAUUAGACUAUAAAAAAAUAAAUUCAAGUAAAUCAUGAAUAAAAUAAUUAAUUAAGUAAUUAAAUUUUAGGUUACAAAUAAAAAAUAGUGUUAUUUAUGAAAGAAAUAUGAAUAAAUUUUUUUCUCUUAUUCUAAACCCACUUGUAAAUUAGGAAUUUAGGAUUGUUAAUCCCAUGAUUUAAGGACUAAAUUUAAAUUUAAUCCUUCCUAAUCCAAUCCAAGCAAAGUAGCCAAACAUGAGAUAAAAUAUUUAAUCUCAAAGUUAAUCUAAUCUCAUACUUAAUCCUAACUCCCAAACAUGCACUAACGGUUUAUCUUAAUCCAAUCAAUCCUCCAUCAAAAAAGCCAAGAUCAUGAAACAACUACCAACAUAACAGACAACACGAAAGUGUAUCAGCUGUCAGCGUCAAAACAUUUCCCAUGAUUCAUAAAGUGAUAAAGAUGAAAGGUACAAGUUCUGUUUGAGUUGCGGCAAAGAGCAACAUCCUAUAACAAAAUUCAGGCAUAGAUAAACAGGGUUGUAGAAGCUUAUUCUCUCAUAAAAGAAGAAAUCUAGAUCAAGUUAAGCAAUUAGCAGCCUAGAAAAGACAAGUGAAACAAACCAUUUUAAGUCCACCAAGAGUGAGGCAAAAUGGAUGACUGUCAUUCCUCCGAUGAAAGAAGCUUGAGGCACAAAAGGAUACCCAAAGAAGCAUAAGUGAUGAAUCUACUAUGCUAAAACUACAACCAAGAAGAACUUUGGGCACAGUGUAAAAAGAAUUCAUUGUAUUGACAUUUAUGCGCUACAAUUCUUCAUGACAAACUUUGGCUCAAUUUCUAAGCCUAGUUCUCCAAUAGUCAUUUUCCCAUGAAAGAUAUUCAACAAUUGAGGCACAUGAUCCUGAUAUUUGGUCACGAAUGUAUCCAAGAAGCGCUUGUUAGAAUUUAUCACCAGAGAAGAUAAAUAGAUUUUAUUUUCUUCAUUGAUCAAGCCCUUUGAAAGCAAAACUCUUAUAACUGAACAACGGGGGAUGAUCCUCCUCUCCAAACUAUACGUAAAAGCACUUGGAACAUGGGCAAUAGCUGAAGGGUGCCAACCCAUCCUGUUUACCAAAAAAUUGAAUACGCUGACUAAUUUUGUCUUAGAUGCACUCAUAUAAAUGGGACACUUUCUAAAUGCCAACCUAACGUCCUCAUCAGACCAACCCCACCUCCUCAAGACAUCCAAUUUGCACUCCAAAGUUGAUUGACCAAUUGAAGAAAAUACCUGCAUUGCAUGGACAAAUUCACAUUUUUGAGGAUCAAAACCCAUUUUGAUGACCUUCUUAACAUUUCCAUAGAACUUAUCCUGUCUUUGGAGACAAUUGGGGGAUAACAUGAUAAAAUCAGUGCAAAAUAGGCCUCGGGUAUUCCGAGGUCUCUCAAGAAUGCAAGUUUCGGAGACACAGUCAUCUGCAAAUCAAAACUAAAUAACCACGUUCUUUUUUUCCUCAAAACUUUAAUAACAUUUUCAUCCCAGAAAAACACACUUUUGAGGAAUUUAUAAUUGGGAAUGAGUACAUUCUCCAAGCUUUGACCCAAAAUGGCUGGGAUUGACGAGCAAACAUCAGCAAGUUCAGCGUCUGUGGCCCCAAUAGAGUUCAAGAACUCAAUUUUAGGUAAGAGAGACCUCUUGGGAUGGGCAAAAAGUAACUGUGGGCGCAUCCUAACAAGUUUAGCAAUUUGGGAACCAUUGAAUCCACGAUUUUUCAAAAAUCGAAGGACUGAAUCUGGUUGUUUCGAAGAUUGAAGCUUUACUCUUUCGGCAACAGAUUUUGCAAUUUUUGGGGACAACCCACAUGAGUUUAUGAGGUAUGACACCGUAAAUGAGCAUUCUUUUGGCACUUUCCUUUUAAUUUGUUCGUCUUCAGUUGAGAAUAACUUAACGCCAAAAGGAUUAAACAACCUUGCGUUCUGAACAUUCAAACCCAAACCAGAAAACAAAUCCAAAUAAGAGGUGGCUAAAUCUUGCGCAAUAGACCUAUUACUAUUUGAUAACACUUGUGCUAGUGAUAGCCUUCCAUUACUUCUAUAGAAUAAUCCAUACAUCUUCGAAAACGAAAACUUACAGAUAAUACUAAUGUAAUUGAAUUUCGUUCAGUUGAAAGAAUUCACUCACCAGCUCGUGCUCCUUACUGAAAAGGGGAAGAACAAGAACGCCUCAGCUGAUUCGUUUUAUGGUGCCUCGGGGAUUCACGAAAAAGGUCGUCGUGUCUAUCUUCACACUUCAGACCACCAAAACGACGGCAGUUCUGGGACCGCGCCGUGUUCCAAAGUAAGCAGUCCUUGGCGACAAAAUUUUAGGAUUUUAAACAAGGUGGGUUUGGUACUGGUUUUAUUUUGGCGUUUUCCGUUUUCCAAAAACAAAAUCGUGUAAAAUGCGUUUGCUCACUGGUUUUUGUAUUUCGCGAGAAUGAAUCAUUCUCAUUUUUCAGCAUUUGGUAUUGCAUUUUGAAUGGCGUUCUU
rnacentral:lncRNA from 1 species